UUUUUUUUUUUUUUUUUUUGUCGUCUUAAUUUUUGCCUCUCCGAGGCCGAGGAGAAAGGAGGCUCAGCAGGUAGUGGGGUGUGCCAUGAGAGACCCACCCCCAAAAAGACUAAAAGACAAACUCUAUGCCUUUCCAUAAGGGGGACACCCAAACUUGCAGGAUGAAUAUCAUUCAUCACAAUCACACACAACUCUAUGCCUUUCCAUGGUCAAAGACAAACUAUAACUGACAGCAAUACAAAAAGGGAAGGAUCAAGCAGCAUUGCGAAAUAUAAACAAUAGACAUGCAAAUGUCCUGGACAAGUGAUCAUUCAGUAAAUUAGUUUUAACUAGUGGACGCAUAUUUACGAGCAGAAAUGCCGACGUUCUUCAAAAAAGCAUUGCAAUUCCAUUCCAGCUCAGAUUUAGAUGAACAUGAUCCAACAACCAACCAAAUACAAUCCAAUUCACAAAUGCCUUGGACCGGUAUCUCAGGACAAAUGUCUUUCAACUUAAAGCAGGCUGUGGAUUGGAUGUUAGACCAAAGUUCAUCUAGAUUGGGGUUUCCUUCAGAUGCAACUUGGUGGGUGCCAUGAAGGCUCUAUCUUGUGUAGACAAAAUUGCAGCAGCCCCACUAGAUAUAAGCAUCUACUACAGUAAGACAACCGACUCAAACACUACAAGAAACUUUCCAAUUUAAUUAGAACUGGAACUAGAGGCAACCAACUCAGUAACCAAGACCUACUAAUCGACUAACGAAUAAACGAAGUCUUCCAAAGACAAAGAUUAGUUUGCAAAUUGCAAUCACUCAAGAUUACUGAUAACACUUUGACAACAUCGUAAACUUUGACAAAAAAGCUAAAUAAAGAGAUCAAUUAAGCUAGUUCAAAUAUUCCAACACCACUAAUCAACGUAUUUACCCAUUUCAUUAAUGCACCGAUAAGACCACAGCAGGAACAUACAAUUAUUCAGGGGCAAUGUGUCCCAUAGUUCCCUGGACUCAACUUGCAAUCUGGUAAUUUUGUAUCCACCGAAGAAAUCUUCCAAGUUUCAUCCAGAUGGAUGUUUCCGGGCUUUAAAUCAGGGUGAACAAUUUUACCAUUGCAAUGCUCAUGCAGGUACUCCAGGCCAUGCGCUGUAUCAAAAGAAAUUCUUUUCUAGUAGGUCAGUCCAGGCCUUUUUCUCCAGGUUUGAGGUCUAUAACAGGAGCAAAUAGAUACUUUACAAUUACUGAAAGGUCAUUCAUAUCACUCCAGAUCAUGCCCAAUCAUUACUAGCAAAAACAACAAAUAUCUCUCAAUUCCACCUCAGUGACCAAUAAUACCUUGUCAAACAAUUUUAUGACAAACAAAUAAUGGUUACUGGUAUUCAAGAUACACAUUCACUAUUUCCAUUCUAUGCUGAGUAUCUUUCCAGCAAAUAAUUCAAAUUUACUGCAUACCGUAAGAAUGAAUAUUGUGACGAAAUUCUUCACAAACUGAACCAGCCACACAGAAUAGAUGCUACUACAAAAAUCCCAUUUACAGAAAACUUUUAUCACAAACUUCUUUCCGGCAUUCAGAAACAAAGAUUAGUUUUUGCGUCUAACAAUUUGGAUGUUGCUGCACAAAAUUGGGAAUCCUCCUCUAAAGGCCAUUAGAAAAGAUAAGUAAGUUGUCCACAGGACAGUUACUGAACAUGAAUUGAACCGUUGUAAAACAGAUCUCUUACAUAAAACUUCAACGCAAGACUUGUCAUUCAAUGUUUGCCACUGAGAAAUAAAAUAAAAUAAAUUAAAAUUAAGACUUGCUCUUAAUUUUCUCACAAUUCAAUUUGAACAAACGUUAUCUAAGACGUAGUUUGAAGUUAAAAAAAAAUUUUCUCUGAUUUAAAAAAUUAGUCUUGAUCACUUCAGCCAAUUCCUUUCAUAUAAAAUUCGUCAUAACUAUUUCCAUAUGUUUCAAUACCUAAUAAAUUGUCUCUAUCAAGUCUGAGCUGACGUCAAAUCUUCACACUCUGCAAUACAAAUUCCACUCCUCCCCUGUUCCACCAAAAAUGAAAAAGAAUUUAAAAACCAAAAUUGAUAGAUAUGGAACUUGCUAGAGUAGAAAAAGUAUCUUAGUACCAUUCUGAUGUGCCAGUACGACUUAUUUCUUUUUCUUAGUUUUAUUGCAGAUGGUGCCCCAAUAGCAGCUGUGCAAUAAAAACCUAUUCUUUAGUUAUUAUUGCAACUCAGGAAAAACCAACUAUUAAUAUUAAAGAAUCCAAUAAUCAAGCCUAUUGUCAAUAAAUAACUAAACAACACAUGCAUUUGUUUAAAAAAAGGACGGAGAGUUUCUUGGAUGAACUAUUCAAGGUUACUGCAAAAGAACGAUAUUUUUGCUACACUUCUACUGAAUGUCUGUAUAAUUUAGUACAGCAAUGACAAUUAAACGGGAACUGAUCAGAACACUUUUUUUGGAUCAUACUUAAAAAGUUUGGGUUUACUCAAAUGCAGUUAAAACAAAUCAAUAACUUAAAAGUUUGGGUUUACUCAAACGCAAUUAAAACAAAUCAAUAACCAUGCCUAUUUAUAGGACCUCAAACUGUGAAUCCAAAGCAAGAAACUGGUCUAGAAAGUUUUUACACUUUCGAACUGGCUGCACUUUUGGCACCAUUUAGGAAUUAAAAUAAAAGUAACAAUUUUAUCUUUGAAAAAGUUUUCUCGAAAUUACAGAACUGCAGCUUAAAACUUCUCUAGAAAUUCAAAGUCUCAAACUAUAUUUGCAUAUGCCAUUUCAUUUCUUAUUUCCAAUAAAAUCAAAUAUUAGUUAUCCGAAGUAAAAUUGACAGGCAGGCUAAAUUACGGACACACAUGAAUAAUGAACAAAAUGAACCUGUACAAGUUACCAUUUAAGUGAUAUGCCACACUGAGGUUCUCCAUGGAAAGAUCAACAAGAAGUCUCUUAGAAGAAGUGGUACAAGUCCAAUUAACAGCAGCAGAUUUCUUUGAUCUGCCACACUUGUCAAUUGAACUUCCCUAAGCAAUGCAGCUUCUCCACCAAACUAAAGACCUUGGAGGUGUUUCACAAAAUAUGACCAAGAGAUCUCCUCUAAGGCUCAGUUGCAUCAAAGAUGAUAAGUGACAACAGGAUCCAAUUCGAACCUAAAUAAUGUUAGUUCCAGCAAAUUAAAGUUCAAAGGCCAAAAUAAAUGGCAGGACUAACAUGUUGCAACUAAUGUGAAGGUCCUCUUCGUUCCCCAUCUAUGAACUUCUUGCUAUCGGGAUCAAUCUUCAGCAUCAACAUUAGCACAGAAGGAUUGUUCUGAUUCUCAGCAGAUAAAUCAAGUAAAAUGGAAAAGGUAUGUGCAUCCAGCGAGAAUCCUCUAUGAACCAUUUCUUCAUGAUAGACCAUCGCAUCAUCAUAAUGACCUCCCUUAAGGAGUCCUCGUAGUAUAACAUUGUAUGUAAAAUCAUUUGGCAGGCAACCCUUCCCCUCCAUCUUUUUAACAAGCUCUUUGGCUUCGAUGAGCAGACCUUCUGAAAGCAGACCAGCAAUCAUGGUGUUGUAUGUUCUAACAUCAAGAUCCAAUCCUUUAAGGGAGAGAUUGUUGAAAAGUUCUCGAGCACUAUCGAGCCUCCUGCUUUUGCACAACCCAUCAAGCAUGAUAUUGUACAUUCCAAUGUGAAAAUUUGUUCCAUCAGCUUCCAUUGCAUGGAAUAACUGCAAUGCUUCGUCGACAUGUCCAGUCUUGCAUAAUCCAUCCAACACCACACAGUAAGUAUGAAAAUCAGGCUUCAUGCCAGAAGCUUGCAUCUCGUUGAAAAUUUCUCGUGCACUAAGAUACCUUCCUGAACUAAAUAACCCCUGCAAGACAGUGGUAUAAACAACAAUAUUAGGUGUUAAACCUUUAUGCUGAAUCUCUCGAAAGAGAUUUAUGGCUGCUUCCGCUUUCUUGCUCUUGAAAUAGGCAUUUAUCAGAAUACCAUAGCUAUGGAGAUCAGGUGUAAGGCCGCUAGCAAUCAUGGUAUUGAAAACUCUCCUUGCGUCAUCUAUUCGCCUCUGUAAACAGUACCCAUCCAUUAAGGAACAGUAUGUGACUAGAUUGGGAUUUUGACCUUGCUGGAUCAAGAUCUGGACUACAUCUUCAGCAUCUUCUAUAUGCCCUUCCUUACACAGUGCAUCCACCACUAUAGUGAAAGUAAUAACAUUUGGAAUAAUUUUAUAAACCUUCAUCUCAGAAAAGAUCUUGCGAACAUCCUCCCAUCUGCUUAAGUUGCACAGACCUUGAAUCAAACAACUGUAAGUGACAACAUUUGGGGGAAUGCCCUUUUCAAUCAUCUCCUGCAAGAGGGCAAGAGCUUCAUCAACCAUUUUAUCCUUGCACAAGCUGUCAAUGAUUGUACUGUACACAUUAACGUUGGGCUUACAUCUUCUUCUUUUUUCCAUGACUCUUAGGAAUUCAAUGGCCGUUUGAAUGUUCCCUACCUUACAAAGCCCAUCUAUCACAAUCAGAAACAUAACUUCAUUGGGCUCGCAAAGUUUUUCGAAUAUUAUCUUCUUAAACAAUUCCUGUCCCUGGGGGACCCUAUAUUCUCGAAAGAGUCCUUUGAGUAGAGUACUAAAGGUGACCACAUUAGGGACAAGACCACGCUUCAUGAAAGCAGCCAACACAGUAAACCCCAAAUCCACUCGACCCAGGAGGCAGUAACAAUUAAUCACAACACUGAGGGUGGCCUCAUCAGCAGGAAUGCCCUUGACACACAUAUCUCUAAAAAGGGAAAUAGCAGAUACAUAAUGAUUCUUCAUCUUAACAAUACGGUUCAGCAAUUGAUUGAACUGAAUAACACAAGGCAGAGGCCUCAUCCGGACCAUAUGCCGGUACAAGCUCAGAGCAUCAUGAAGACUGUCGACAUUAUUAAUAUCAUUCCUCAAUCCCGGUUGAAAUUUCAGAGCUUUUCCAGAAGAACUCUCAACUUUGCCACUAAUAGCAGAAUAAAAAGCUAAUUGGGGUUUAGGGUUUGGGAAUGCAGAGAGAAAUGAAGCAAUAGUAGUACACCUAGCAGUAGCAGUAGUACCUACUGAAGCCGCUGCUUCCUGAGACUGAGCAAUGGAAAGAAUUAUGGCAGAAGAAGCUCUUCUCCGCAUCGCCAUUAUCUUCUGCUUCUACAGCUCAAGAAUUAAUCACGUGUUAAUUGUUUAACGGCUUUGCAAUUGGUAAAAUUAGUUUCACCAAGACGAUAUCAUCCCCUCUGAUUUGCUUUCUUUCUUUCUUUCUUUUUACUUUUUACCUCCGAUUUUUCUCUCCUGUGUAGCUUUUCAAAUUUUCAUGGGUGAAAUCUAUGAAUCAGACUAGUAUUUAUAGUUUUUGCAAAGUGGAACGAAAAUUGUUUUUGUGCUUUAUCGGUAAUAAAAAAUGGUAUAAAUUUAAGGGAAAAUCGUCCAAAACGUCCCUCACAUUUUAUAAAAUGACUUUUUUCGUCCCGCACUUUUAAAAGUGUAAUUUUAUGUCCCUUACAUAUUCACAUCGGUCAAAUUUAGUCCUUAACUAGGUUUUCGAUCAUUUUUUGGCCGGAAUUCAUCACGUGCAAGGCACGUGAUCAUUUUUAAGGGUAAAUUUGUCAAAUUAUAUUUUACAUAAUCUAAUUUAUAGUUCUCCACAUUUUAUAAAACAAAUUUUUUCGUCCCUCAUAUUUUAUAAAAUAAUUUUUUCAUCCCUCACAUUUUCACAAAAUGAAUUUCUCCAUCCCUCACAUUUCAAAAAAUAAAUAUUUUCAUCCCUCACUAAUUAUGUGUGUGAGGGAAACCCUUAAAAAAAAUGUGUGUGAAUACAUUUUGUUUAAACACAUGUAUAUGUCUAUUUGAUUUUGCUUAAUAAUACGAAUAGCAUAAAUAUAUGUAUGUGUCUAUUUGAUUUCACUUAACAAUACGAAUACCAUAUAUUAUACGUAAUCAUUUGAUUUCAUCUGGUAUUAGCUAGUAAAAAAUCUUGCAUUCAUUGUCAAGUUGGCCAAUAAAGCUAUUUUCGGUCAAAAUACAAUAAGAAUAUGCAAAUUAAGGUUCUAUUGGUAAAUAUUAGUCAUAAUCAUAUAAAAAGAGAAGAUAACCCACAAGUUGGGCCCAAUUACAUACAUGUGUUUAUGCUAUUAUUAUUAAGCAAAAUCAAAUAGAUAUAUACAUGUGUUUAAAAAAAAUGUAUUCACACACAUAAUUAGUGAGAAAUGAAAAAUUCAUUUUUUGAAAUGUGAGGGAUGGAGAAAUUCAUUUUGUGAAAUGUGAGGGAUGAAAAAAAUCAUUUUAUAAAAUGUGAGGGACGAAAAAAUUUAUUUUAUAAAAUGUGGAGGACUAUAGUUCAUAUUAUGUAAAAUAUAAUUUGACAAAUUUACCCUUAAAAAAUGAUCACGUGCCUUGCACAUGAUGGAUUCCGGCCAAAAAAUGAUCGGAAACCUAGUUAGGGACUAAAUUUGACCGAUGUGAAUAUGUAAGGGAUAUAAAAUUACACUUUUAAAAGUGAGGGACGAAAAAAGUCAUUUUACAAAACGUGAGGGACGUUUUGGACGAUUUUCCCUAAAUUUAAAUACUUCGCUUGUAAAAGUCUAAUGGGGGAAGAUUAGAUAAAGUGGAAGAAAUUAUAAAUAAAAAAUUUAUUUAUUAAAAAAAAUAUAGAAGUUCAACCAACCAUUUAGUGGAAGUUUGAGGAAGUAAUACUUACAAAAAUAUAUUGUUGUUAGAGUUGAAUUUGUUUGUAAGGGAGGAUUUGUAUUUACCACACAAAUACACAUCAACCCAAGCAAGCAACCAUUAUAAUUGCAAUUUCAUUUAAACAAUCCAAAUGUUGAUGUAAAGGAUAUAGGGUUGUUAAUGGAGAGAGAGUUUUACAAAAUUUUCGUUGAGGACGGAAAAUACAAUUAAACCAUUUUUUUUGGUUGGUUGUAACAUGAAAUAAGUAAUAUCCAAACAUCCCAUCGAUUAAUUUCAACAAAAUGUGUCACCUAAUAAAAAGGAAAUUUAUCAAUUGCAUAUUGUAUAAUUUACAUACAUACAUACACACAAACAUAUCCACACAUACUAGAGUUCUGGCUUAAAUUGUUGAACCAAAAUCGUUUUGCAUCGUUAGAUAUAUAACUUACAUGUUUAAGAGAAAAGAGCAAAAAAGGAAAAAAAAAAAAGGAGUAUGUGGUUUUCCAUUUUUGAUUGUAUAAAAUACAGUUUCUUAGUUCAGAAAAACAAAUGUAACAUCUCUCUGUGUCUAUCUAUUGUUUUUUUUCACAUUCAAAAGCAAAUUACCGGUAGGUAGCCGAAAGUAUUUUAACCCCAUGCAGAUCAAUAAUGAUGCUUAGCAAAGUUGGCCAUAAAAUCUCUACUAUAGCAAACUCUCCACCAGUUAUGGUGUUUAAAAAAGAGGAAAAAACUUGAGGAGCCCUUAAACUAUUGUCUUUGUCAUCUUUUGGCCUCCCAUCUAAAAUUUGUUUCCGAUUGAUUCUUAAACAAUUAAAAAUGUAUACUUUGAGGACUUCUGAUGACUUUAACCACAAAUCUGAUCGGAAUUAAAGGGCAUUUUUGUCCGUUCAUGUUUGAACCCUUGGGACCAGCAACUAAGGAGUGUAAAAAGAGAUUGAAAGAUGCAACUCUUCAAUUCUUAAGCAAGCCAAAAUCGAAGCAACGGAAAUCCUUUCCAAAAAUCGAGUUUUGCCCAUUUGUUGAAAUUUCAUCUUCUUCUUUUGCAAAAAAAAGAAAAUUUAGGGUUUUCUUGCACGUAUAACAUUGGAAGCUUUGGGAGCUGGAAGAUGCCAAGAUCAAAUCCAAUACCUCCAACGUGUGGCUGCGGAUUGAGUACCAUUCUGAAAACGUCAUGGACUCCACGAAAUUCAGGUCGAAGAUAUGCGGAAUGUCCAGUUGCUCAAGUAAUGGAUAGCAGUAAUUUAGUGAAGUUGUUAGUAAUUGCUCAGGUAAGUUGUUAGUAAUUGCUGUUUGUUAUGAAUUUGGGUUAGGGAUGCAAGUAUUGGAAAUGAAUAGAUGAAGAAAUGUGUCCGUGUUCAAUGGAGAUUAUACCUGGGUUGCUUCGGCGAAUCAAUCAAAUGGAGAAACAGCUCACAAAUGCCGAAGAGUCUGCACAAAAGUGGGAGUGCAAAGCAGCAAAAUUGCAGACAAAAGUUCGAAGAUUGGAAAUUAUGAUGCAACAACAUGCAUCAAGGGAGAGGAAGUUUGCUCAACUCUUGCAAUCACCUAUGGCUUUGUGUUAGCAGGAUUUGCAGUCUGGGUGUUUGGAAAUUUAGGAAAUAACGAUCUAUUGCAAUUACCCCAAAAAGAUGUAUUAUAAGCAAAGGAAUGAAGAAAGUGGAACUGGAAUGUAAUGUACAAAUGUAGUUCAUGGGUGAAUGGAAAAACAUGUUUUGCUUUAAUUGGACACAGAACGUAUUGGAAAAACAUGUUUUGCUUUAAUGAUCGCAUCAUAUUGGUUUGUUCUGUUUUUGUGAGCAAUAUACAAUUGGAACAAUGGUCCGUUUGACGUGUUCAUUUUAACAUGUUUAACAAUGGAAAAGCUAGAAUAGUGUAAAACUGGAUUAUGAUAGAACAUAGGGAAACCAAAACCUUUUUGAUUAAAUAUCAACUGCCAACAUAUAAUUACAUCAUUAAUACCAAGAGUCAAGCCACUUAAUUAACAAACAAAAGGUGGUCCAACUGUAUGACAUCUACGAAUAAACCACCAAAAAAACAAGUCAUUUUCAUGCUCGACAUAGCACGAGACAAGUCAUGUUCUGAAAGCAAAAGUAAAAGGGCAUCCAAUGCCAUUGACUACGCUACAAAUCUAAUAGUUAGUUGAAGAUGAAGGCACACAUCCUCUUCCUCUUCCUCUUGCACCAGCACCCUCACUUUGAGUUGGAUUGACAUUUCUUCUUCCUCCUGUACCAGCAACUUCAUCUUGAUUUGGAUUCCCACUUCCUCUUCGUCUUCCACCAGCACUUUCACUUUGAUUUUGAGUACCACUUCUUGUGGAUCUUCCUUUGCCCCAUCUUCCUUUCCAUCUUCCUACAGUAAAAGGAGGCUGCUUUCCAAGAUAAGCAUAGUUGGAGUUUAUCCUUCCCUUUUCAGCAUCAGUCAAUGUAUUGUUUUUCUUUGUCCUGGAGGCUUGAUUUUGGGGUGGUUGCCGUUGUUUUUGCUGUUGUGUUGAUGACUGAAGGGUGGUGGUUGGUGCUGUUGUCUAGCUUGAGAUGGCUGUUGUUGUUGGUUGUUUUGUGAUUGAUUCUACUGUUGGGUAGGCUGGUUAGAUUGUUGUCCCUGCUCUUUAUUUGCAUGAGAAGAUUCAGGUACACCCUGCUUUCCUCUCCUUCUCUGAAAGUGUAAAUCCGGCCAGAUCAAUAUGUGGAUUAAUGUACAAACAAUGUUAGUAAAAAUUUAAAUUUCAUACUCGUUUGGACUGUUGCUUUUCUGAAUUUUGGCUUUGCUGUUGCUGCUCAGUCCCUCUAUCUCUUGAACAAGUUGCAGCAUUGUGGCCAGUUUCUCCACAUUUUCUACAGUGCAUCACAACUAUCUUGCGCAGCUUGGUACCAUUUCCCUUUUCCUCUGUUAUAUCCCUUCUUCUAGCCUUUUUCGGCCUUCCAGGUUGUACACAAGCGAUUGGAGGAUCCAUUUCCAAAUGCUCAUAAUUAGGCCAAAGCGAGACCCCACUAAUUGGCUCCAAGACAUUCUUAUAAAUUUUAGCAAACAACUCUCUUGAGUAGCAUGGGGCUGUGAAUUGCAUUGGAUUUCUAUCAGACACCAGCAUUGCAGAAAUGGCAUGAAUACAAGGAAUCCCACUUAUCUCCCAAAGUUGGCAAGUGCAUGUGUUUUUCCUGAAAUCUACUGCAUAUUGAGCUGCCCGAGGACCUUUUACUUGGUAGCCAUACAAACCAUUCCAGAUUGGCUCCCAAAGGCAGGCCUGCUUAAUUCUAUCCUCAAUCAAUUCCUUGAUUAGGGGCCCUACUGGUUCAGUCCAUUUAGAUAUCUCUUCUCUUCUUUGUUGGAUCCUCUGCAUCACCUUCUUUCUUAUUUGUUCAAGCAUUGACAUUAUUGGUUUGUCUCUGGCUUCAAGAAUGAACGCAUUGAAGGUUUCACAAAUAUUAUUUACCAGCAUAUCACAUUUCGUAUGGACUGGAAAAAAUGCCUUGCACCAGUGCCUGGCAUGAGGUGCUUUUUUCACCUAUUUAAAGGCCUCACAAUCAAAAUCUUUCAUGUCUUCCAUGGCCUUGUUGAACUCUUUCAUACUUGUACUAGUGGCUAUACUCCACAUCUUGGACUUUAAAGCUUUGUCGGGAUGUUUCUUUUUAAAAUUUCUGUACAUAUGUUGUACACAAUAUCUAUGCUCACUCCCAAGAAGUAUCUCAGACAUAGCUCUGUCUAAUCCCUUUACAAAGGUAAAAAAAACAUGAGUCAACACUCAAACUGAUAAAUAUGAAAAAUAUCGUUUCUAUUGGAACAAUUGUUAACACUCAAACUAUAUUGAUAUUCUUACCUUUUGUUGAUCAGAAAUGAAGGUGUAAUGAUGUUGAUUGUCAAUAUUUAGGUCAUCAGCAAGGAGUUGAAGGAACCAUCUCCAUUGCUCUCCAGCUUCUUUUUCAACAACUGCCCAUGCAAUGGUUCACCAUCCAUUGUUAGGGUCAACACCCAUAGCUGUUAGUAAUUGACCAUGAUGAGUUCCUUUAAUAUGACAACCAUCAAGACCUAUUAGUGGCCUGCAACCACUAAAAAAUCCCCUCUUAAGUGGCCCCAAACAGCAAUAGAAUCGCAUGAAUGUUGGAUUACCACCAGGUUUUCUGAAUGGAGUGAACAUAAUUUCAGUCGUUGUACCUGGAUGAGUCUUUUUAAGCUCCUCAGAGUACCUAUCCAAAAGUUUGUACUGCUCUUCAGCUGAACCCUUCACAGUUUGAGUAGUUAGUGCUCUUGCUUUAUAUGCCACUGCUCUAGUGAUUUUGGACCUAUACUCUUCAUCAAUUGUUUGUAUUAACUCUUUCACAGGCAGUUGUAGGUUGGACCUGUACCUCUCUUCAUACCUAUUUGCCAACCACUUUGAGGUAAUAGCUCUAUUCUUUCAAGCAUGGCCACAGUUUUCAUGCUUAUCAUAGAUUGACUUCACACUAAGUCAUUUGUGCCUAGACAAUUUACUGUUGAGGCAAAAACAAACCACCUACAGGGGGGCUUACAUUUUGCUCUAACUCUUUUUCUCUCAUUUUUACAAGGCUUCACAGGUUUACCAUUAACAAUUGCAUAGUUUUUAAGAGCUUCUUUGAACUCCCUGCUAUCAGCAAAUCUUUGCCCUUUAAAGAAUCUUGGAUUUUUCAUGUCCCUCUCUGGGAUAAAGUCAAUGAAUUUGGGCAUAUAUCCUCCCCUUUUCUCAGAUGACUCUUCCCCACUAUCUAGUUGAUCAUCUAUUUUGUCCCCAUCAAAUGCAGCUCCAACAUCUAUAGUUUUUGAACCCAAAGUUGCAGGCUGUCUUGCUUUAUUUUUUCUGCCUUUCUUUUGUGAUUGUUGGAUAGGAAUGUUAGAAGUUCCAGUCACAUCUUCAUACUCCUGCUGCUGGCCUCCCAUAGAUUGCUGGUCAUUUUCUGUUUCAUCUAUAUUGCCUGCAUCCUCAAACAUCAAGUCAUCUUUGCAGAAAUUAUCAUCAGCACUGAAUUGCUCAUUAUCUGAACUGUUGCUCGUGUCAUCAGCAGCAUCAUUGUCUCUAUCCUUACUAGUACCUACCCCUCCCACUGUUUUAGUUGUUGUCUUUUGUUUGCCAUCUUUAAUUUCAGCCUGUGAGGUUGGAAUCUUUUCAUUAAGAAUGUCUUUCUGCACCUGUUUUUCUGUUAAAUUUUCACUUACACUUGCACCACUUUUUUUUUGGUUUUGAGUUCCAGCAUUCAAAGGCUUUUUAGUUAAUACCAUAUCAGUACAAGGCUCCUCUAUAACUCUGCCCUCAUCAUCUAUUUCUUCUAUCAAAACACCAGAUUUUGGUAGUGCUGCAUGUGUCUCUACAGGCUCAUUGAAUUGCAUUUUCAAUACCUCUUCAAUGCUCUUAUGGUCACAGUAAACUUCCAUCACCUUGUAUUCCUGUACCCAACUACAGAACUGGUUAACAUGUUCAUCAGUUUGCAAUUGCCUCAGUCCAUCAGGUAGAACACUUGUCGGCUCAAGGUAAUAGUACAACACAGCUUCCUCUUCCCUAUACCCCAGUUUUUUUAACAUUGCAUUAAUCUCAAGCACUGACAUUCUAUCACCAUCACACAAAUCUAUAUGAUCAACUUCACCACCAGUAUAAAAUCUGUGAUCUGAACCAUUAAACUUGCCCCCAUAGUGCAAUCUAAUAGUAAAAUAUUCACUCCCAUGUUUUGUAUAAUCAUGUAUCAAAUUAAAGUAAAAAUUCACUAUAUUCAUAGAGUAGUAAAAAUAAGCAGCAAAAUUGCUAAAUAAACAAUUGCCCAUGCAACAUCAACUAUUUUUUGUCAAACUCUAUACCAGAAAUUUCAUUAAUUUACUAUUUUUAGUAAACUAAUAAUGGACCACAAAUAUAGUAGGACCCCAUGCAACCUACCAACAGGACAAAACUCUCAGACCUUGUUUCCACCCAAUUAAUUUAAUUAAACUCCACUAUAUCUAAACCCCUAUCAACCAACAUCUAAUUCUUUAACAGCCCCUAAAUCGUUCAAUAAUAACACAACAAUUACACACACAAACCCCAACGAUAUAAGCUUACAAAUCAAGAGGCACAUUACCGUAUACGAGAUAUGGGUCAAAAUAUGCAUCCCUCCUUCUGAUCAUCCAUUCCCUUUCUCUGUCCAUCCGUAGCUUUCAAUGCAGAAUUUCUCCCAUGCAACCUUCAAUAGCUAUAAUUGAAAGAUUAUCUAGCCAUUCUUAUACUUUAGAUGAAAUUUCAACAAGAAAUGGGUUUUUGUUAUCGGCAAAACUCGAUUUUUGGAAAGGAUUUCCGUUGCUUCGAUUUUCGCUUGCUUAAGAAUUGAAGAGUUGCAUCUUUCAAUCUCUUUUUAUGCUCUUUAGUUGCUGGUCCCGAGGGUUCAAACAUGAAUGGACAAAAAUGCCCUUUAAUUCCGAUCAGAUUUGUGGUUAAAGUCAUCAGAAUUCCUCAAAGUAUACAUUUUUAAUUGUUUAAGGAUCAAUCGGAAACAAAUUUUAGAUGGGGGGCCAAACGAUGACAAAGACAAUAGUUUAAGGGCUCUUCAGGUUUUUUCCUCUUUAAAAAAAAAAAUGUAACCAAAUAUUUUUUUUGUUACCUAUUAAUUGUAACUCAACAUCUCUAUCUCUAUGUUCAAUUAUCACAUUAAAUUAAACACCACACUUACUAGACUUUCUUGUCCUCCCAACACCAUUAUGUUCUCAUUUUCUAUUUUAUAAUAAAAAAUAUAAAAUGUUUUAGUUGACAUACUUAAUAAAACAUAUGCCUUUUUUUGUCCUAUUUUGAAAUAAUUCUUUAUCUUAUAUCACAUGCACAUUGUUAAGAAAAUAAAACAAGAGAAUAGAACAGUGCAAAAACUUCACUAACAAAUUUCGCAAAAAUAGGAGAUUUGUUGAUGAUUUUUGAGGUGUAUACAAUACUAUUCUUAAGGUAUUUAUUGCCUCCAAUACAUUUAAUAGUUUGCUUAUGGGUUAAAACAAUAUACCCUUAGGAUACAACAAGAAUGAAGAGCCUUUGACAGCAAAACCAAAAGAUCUUUUACUAAGAAAUGAUCAAAAUAGUUAAGUUAGUUUGUUUUAUUAAAAACUUGUCAUUUAUAUAGAAAAGACAAUCCAAAAGACAUCAAAACUAAAAAACCACAAUUUCCUCACUUCAAUGAUCAUCAAGAGGCUGCUUUAGUUUCCUUUAAUGGGAAAAAAAUACCAAAACUGUUUUCUCACUAUAAUAAUUAUCAAGAGGUUGUAAUUAGUCUCCUUUAAUGAAAAUGCCAAAACCAUUUCCUCACUACAAUGGUCAUCAAGAGGCUACAUUAAGUUUUUUUUGUCAAAUAUUCUGAAUUUAACAAGCUUUAUUUUCAUUUCAAUUCACAAACUAUUCCAACAAUCCCCCACUUAGUUUGUAAAUGAAAUAAAUAAUCUAACAUACAUAAACACUAUGCAUAAAAAUAAGUAUCAUUAGAUUUAAACUUUUCUUUUAGUGUUAGUAUAUCAUUUUGAACUAAUCAAAUCAUGGUUGUUUUUAAAAUAUUAAACCAAGAUUUAUAACUUAGCCAAGAAAUACCAUAUACAUGGCAUUUAAACAUUUGAUCAAUUCACAAAAAUUUAGCACUAUUACCAGCCAUGUGCUCGAUCCUAGUUUCAUGAUCAUUUACAAAAGUAAAUCAUACAUUUGCUAGAAGCGGCACCACUUCUAUGAUCCUAUAGGUGAAAACACUUUUAAACUUUAUGUAACAAAGCACUUCGAAAGCAAUUACAUUUCAUUAAGAAUAUAAUUGAUCAUAUAUUCAACAUCCCAUUUUGCACACUAGUGGGGUAACUUUGUUUACAAAGUACUAGUGUUCACAAUCACAAGGUGAACGAAUUUACAUGUGGAGUUUUUUCAGGUGAAUUUUAAAGCGCUGUUGCUUUUCGUUUUGAGGUAAUGCAUUCGGCUUACAUGGUGACGUUUUUCAACUAUCUUUUUAUAUUUCCAAUUACAUAUUUAUCUUAUAUGCAUUUGAUUAUAAAAAAUACUACAACAAUUAUUUCAAAUAAUACUAUAUUUAGACACAUUUUUUAAGCCUACAUUAGGUUAGGAAAUAUAGACAGCUAGCAUGAUGAUUAUAUUAAUGUUUUUUAAAGGGUAAAGAUUUUCAUGAAUAAUAAGAAGUGGUGGUAAAUGCACACCAUAUGGAUAAUACUCCCAUAAGUAUGAGUAAAGGGUCAAUGGAUGAAGAUAGAAAGUUAGGUUUCAAAUCGUUACUAAAUCUUUAAUUUUUUAUUGGUACAAAAAAAAAAUUGAAGCGAAAUAGCUAUUAAAUGAUGACUUUGAUUUACUAGAAAUAUGGACCUAUUCUAUUCUUUUAGUUCCAUGGAAACAAAAUCCCAUCUAACUUUAAACAAGAUUAAGAACUAAUAACCCAUGUACUAAUAAAUUAACUAGUAAAAGAUAGGGGGAAAAAAAGAAAUUUGUUAAAUUACAACAUUAAAAUGAGUUGGAGCACUCAAUUCAUUAAUUUAGAAUUCAUUUUCAUUCUCUAUGACCACUGUUCCGAAGCAAAAUAACCUAUAAUAGUCUAUUGCUAACUUUUGCACAUAGUUUGAUAAAUUUUCUCUUUUUUAGAAUUUUUGGUUGAUUAGUUACUCGUGUACCAUUGCGUGAAUUAUUUUUUGUUCAAUGUUAACCCCUGUUUUGCUUCUUUUUAAAAAAAAUGAUUUUAAUAAAUUCGUGAUUGUACAUGGUUGAUCCCCUUAGUAAUUGUGAAUUUCCAUCAAUUGUUCUAAAUCUACUUCAAAUUAGAAACAUUAAGGCUUAGAUUUGUUUUUGAUGAAACCAUAGGGACUAAAAAAGAAGCCACACUUAAUGCCAAAUAUUAUAGAUUGUAUUUGCUUUCGUUGAAACAUUAAGGAUUAAAAUCACACAGGUACCAAAUAUUAGGAACCAAAACUGUAUAUCUCCUUCUUGCACAAUGUACACUUAUAAUUUGAAGGCGAUUGCAAAUAAACAUCAUUGGUUUAUUUUUAGCGAAAAUCGUUCAAAACGUCUCUCAUAUUUUACAAGAUGUCUUUUUUUGUCCCUCACUUUUAAAAGUGUAAUUUUACGUCUCUUACAAAUUCACAUUGACCAAAUUUGGUUCCUACCUAGGUUUUUGACUAUUUUUCGGCCGGAAACCACCACGUGACUUGCAUGUGAUCAUUUUUUAAGGACAAAAUUGUCAAAUCAAAUUUUUACAUAAUCUGAUUCAUAGUCCCUCACAUUUCACAAAAUGAAUUUUUUCGUCCCUGACAUUUUACAAAAUGAAUUGUUUGGUUCCUCACAUUUCAAAAAAUGAAUUUUUCCAUCCCUCACAUUUUUCAAAAUGAACUUUUUCAUCCCUCAUUGAUCAUGCGUAUGAAUAGUUUUUUUCUAUAAACCCACGUAUAUGUUAUUUGAUUUUACUUGAACAGUACGAGUAACAUGUAAUUUAUAUUUAUUGAAUUUCAUUUAAACAUGCUAAUCGUAGUUAUACACAUGCUAUUCAAUCGAUAUAUAUAGGAGUUUAAAACUAAUAAUUUUGUUUGAAACUCAUGUAUAUAUUUAUAUGAUUUCACCAUUUGAACCUAUUCAAUAUUUGUGACAUUUCUCUUUUGGUAAUAAUUUAUUUAUUGAAUUGUAUAAUAAGGUCACCUAAUUAAUGGGUCCUAACUCGAAUUCUAUAAUUAUACUAACAAAUUUUAAAUAUGAAAUUUCUACUAGACACUUUUAAGACCAACAGUUGAAUUACUUGCCUUGUGAUUGUCUUAAAAUUUGAAAAUGCCAAUCACUUAUAUCUUUUUGUCAUACUUUUCUUUUGUUUAUUUUUUCUAUCCAAAUUUAAUUCGAUAUAAACACUAGAUAAUAUUUAGGAUUAAAUGUCUUCUUUAUUUUCAAAUUUUGAGUAAAAGAAAUGAAUAUAAGUGAAAAACUAACAAUUUUUUUAAACCCAUGUAUAUAUCUAUUUGAUUUUACUUGAGCAUUACGAAUAGUAUGUAAUAUAUCUCUAUUUGAUUUCACAUGCUAUUCAUACUGUUCAGUUGAAAUCAAAUAGAUACAUACAUGGAUUUAAAAAAAAAUUAUUCACACACAUGAUCAAUAAAAGAUGAAAAAAUUUAUUUUAAAAAAUGUGAAGGAUGAAAAAAUUCAUUUUGUGAAAUGUAAGGGACGAAAAAAUUUAUUUUAUAAAAUGUGAGGGAUUAUGAAUCGAAUUAUAUAAAAUUUGAUUUGACAAUUUUGCCCUUAAAAUAUGAUUACGUUCAAGGCACGUGGUGAAUUUCGACCAAAAACUAGUUGGAAACCUAAGUAGGGACCAAAUUUGACCAAUAUGAAUUUGUAAAGGACGUAAAAUUAUAUUUUUAAAAAUGAGGGACGAAAAAGUUAUUUUGCAAAAUGUGAGGAACGUUUUGAACGAUUUUCCGUAUUUUUAUGUACACAAAGUCUAAAAUUCUUCUUUUGAUUUCAAAUAAUACUUCAUUUCAUAAUGUAUGUUUUUUUUGGUUUAAAGUAUAACAUAACUAAUCAUUUGACAGAAUCAGGGGACAAUAUAAAGAGAAAAAGUGGAAUUUCUCCUACUUUAUCUAAUAAGAAAUGUUAUUUACUAGGCUCAAGCCCAAUUAAAGCCUGACGUGUUCACAUGUAUAAUUGUAUAUAUAAUAUACAUAUAAUUGCAUAUUAAAUGAUAUAUAUAAUAUAUAGUUAUUGACGGGUAUUUUACAUACGUGCAAGCUAAAAAAUAUCGAAUUACACUCGUUCACUGCAAGUAUACAGAUCAACUAGUAGUUUAGGGUAUAUAUCGGGUCGAUCCCACAAGGAAGAGUGAACAAUUACCGGUAUUACUAAAGCUUCUCUAUUAUUUAAACUAUCAAUGAAUUAUAACAAAUUUAUCCUACUGAAAUUAUACAAAAUAACAAAUAAAUGCUCCUUAGGUUGUGGUAUCCCUAACUACUCAUGCAAGUGCUAUAUUUGGAUCAUUAAAUACUACAUCUAGGCUAAUUAUGGUGUAAUUUCCUUAUGCAUUUGAAUCCUACUUUCGUAGUGAAUCAAUUAUACUUAUAACUAAUCCAUACCUAUUCUCAUGGUUAUGAAAUUAGCUACAAGUUCAUUUCUUCAGUGAAAUUACAUGAAAUGAAUCACUAAAAACCACAUAGGUGCACCUCUACUUUCGUGAGUGUACUCCCUAUGUUUAGCACUUCUUGAACUAAUGUUAAAUCUCAAUUUUCAUUGUAGAAAUAACACCUUAGAUAAUCACAAUUAAUGGUACCAUAUUAAUCAUGAUUUAAAGAGCUAAAGUGCUAAAUAACUUGCUCAAAUCAUAGCAAUUAAAUAGCCAAAUGAUAAACACUAACAAUCAUAGAAAGUUCAACCAAAUCCAAGGCAUAAACUUUAGAAACACAUAAUAGACAUAAAUUCCAGAACUUGCAUAUUAACUAAAUUUGGAAUCAAGUACAAAAGAUAAAGAGUUGGAAAGGAAUGUAACGCAUGUCACUUGAGCUCAUCACCUUGCCUUCUUCAUCUCCAUCUUAAUCCUAGUCUAGCAAUAUACAAGAAUGGAUGAACUACUACUCUAUACUAAACUAAUCUAUCACUAAGAGAAUGGAAAAGCUACAUUUUUGCAGACUCCAAACUUCUCCCGUAUGAUUCCCAAUGUCCUCAGAUCUCCCAAAUGUCUCUGCAUAUAAGCUGAUGAAAAGCUCCUCUCUAGUCCAAAUUUGCUGCUCUAAGGAUUCUCAAAUCUGAAAUUGUUAAGAUAGUCAAUAACAAAUGUUUUUGACUUGAAAAUAAGCCAUCUUUAUUGCCCUCUUGUCUUCUGAGGCAUGUGCACCGAAUUCUCUUGCAGAUUGUAGCUGGAAAGUAGUUUGAACAUAAGAGAAUUGACUGAGCAAAUUGCAGAAUUGCUGCAAGAAAACGCGCCUACACAAAACGCGGUUACAAGUCACGUUUUGUGUACUCGCGUAUUCACUUUGUCCUUACUUCAACUGCGAUUUUCUCUAUCAUAAAGGCUGAACUGGCUUUUGUGCAAAACACCAAAGUUGUAGCCCUUUGAGUUAGGUUUCCAAUGCUCUAAAAAUCAUCCAGAUCGGAGCUUUGUAACCUGAGAUAUGACCAAAAUACUAAAGACUGGUCAGAACUCUGUUUUCCACUUUGGACAGCUGAGUUGAAUUUCGGUAUUUCAACUUUUGGACUAUGAAAACGGCCGAAUUGGACUUUGAUGUCUUCAUACCAAAUGUAGAUCUCUUUCUUAGCUUUAAAUUGGUGUAAAGAUCACCUCAAUCCGAUCAGUGUAGCUCCAGAUAUAGUCAAAAUACCAAAACAUGUCAGAGUUGUCAAACCUGACUUUUCUUGAUUCAAAUUGCAUUUUUCCUUUUACACUUCAUAUUUUAUUUUCACCACUUUAAUCUAUCUUCAAUCAUCCAAAUAUCUUCUCAAUGCACUUCAUUUGAUGAUUGAAUCAUUAAACCUACAAAAUAUGAAGUUUUUACCAUAAAAAUCCAUAAAAUGCAAUGUUUAGCCACUUUAACAUAAAAUGUAGUUUUUUACCAAAACCUUAGUUAUUUUAGUUAUAAAACUAAAUAAUCAAACCAAAAUUAACUAAUAAAACACACUAAAAAAUACGUAAAAUAUAUUCUUAUCAGUUAUACAUAUUAUAACAUUAAAAUAUUUAUACUUUAUAUACAAAUUCAUAAUAUUUUAUAAAUAUUAAUAUAUUAUAUAUAUUUAUGUAGUUAAUAAUAUGUUUGGAUCAAACCCGAUAUAAGCCCAAAUUUUGAUAUUAAAUGAUGAGUCGAAAAGUCCAAAAGCCCCAUUUAUAUUUUAAGUUUGGGCAUAUCAAAGUACGGUUCAUAGAGCCUGAUUGACUCUCCCGAAUCUAGCAACAAGAAUUCUCUUGAUCACUUGACCAAUGCUAAUAGUCUUAGAUUCAUGUAUUGAGUAACUUGUUAAUGAAAAGAAAAAGAGAGAAUAGAGCAAAAAAUCAGACUAUAUGUGGCAAGGAAAAACUAGAAGGUUUUGACUUUUUAAAAUGAUAAUGGAGCUUAUACUCGUUGGUCGAGUCACUUCAUCUACAGGAUGCAAGUUUGAUUCACCAAGGAUGAGGUUGAGGGUCACUUUUGAUCCUCUUGAGGGUGGGAGGGAUAGAAGAGAGAUGAAGGCAUCUGUGUUCAUGUCUAGACUAAUGUUGGGAAGACAAAAUGUAGCCAAUUUUGUCAUCAAAAUUUACCCAAAAGGAUGUUGCUGCGGUAUGUCAUCAAAGAAGAGGUGUUGGGAAUACACUACAGAAUUUACCCAAAACUUAUGCUCAAGAUACCUUGAUUUGUAGGUACAAAUUGUACACCAGCUUUAGAGAGCUCGAUUACAGAUGGGAUUUCGAUUUCUCCUCCACCAGUGGAGGUCUGUUGAUGUUGGUGCUAUUUAAAUUUUCAUUUUCUGGCUUUUGAUUUUCUUUAUCUUGAGAGAAGCACAAGUACUCAAUUGGUGCUUUAAUGAGUCUGAGUACAGGAAGAUUAGAGAUGAUCGUCUAGGGUAGCUUUAGUAUGACUUUAAUAGGCUUUGAAAACAAUAUUCUUUUGAUCAGACGUGCCGGGACUUUGUUCAACUUUGACAUAAUGUUCCAGACCAAAUAACCCAAGUUGUUUAACGUGGCUAGACUUUCCAAAAUAACUUUCUUUAGCUUCUUUGAUUUCAUCUCCUUCAUCAAUUUCGGUGAUUUCAGAUGGCCCUUCUAAUUUAGGCACGAUGACACGGUACAAGAAGUCAAGCAAAUGUGCAUAAUCCAUCACUUCAAAUUUUGACAGCUCAUCCAUCAUCUUAAAUGGCAAAAGCUCGUUGGAAAACCCAAUUAACAUUAACACAUUAUAUUUGCCGCCUCUAAUGAAGAAAACUGAAGUUCCAACUUUUCCCGCAACAAAAAUAGUGGAAUUUGAUUUUCAAGCAUCACCAUAUCUCUGAGAAUUGCGUUGUGUGCUGACUUUCUUCCUGCAAUAUCAACCAAAUGAGACAUUCUUGAUGAUAAUCUAGUUAGUACUUUACCUUCUUUUGUGGCAAAGACUUGAAGGAACUAGAGCAAGACAGAGCACCCACAGCCAUCAUCCAAGCUAAGGUUUCACCGUUGAACUCUAAGUACUUGUGGUAGCAUGCUCAAGUCCUAGGCUCAAACCAUUCCAGCUGGUCCACAACGCUUUGAAACUUGAGGGAUUGCAAUUGUUUUUAAGUUCUUUUGGCCGAAGCAAGCUUGUAUCUUUCCAUCUCAUAUAAUUCUGAUCUCCAAUGAGAUAUUGUUGGGUUUGUGGGCCAACUCAAAACCCAUGUUACCAAACCUAUCAUUAGGACUUAAGGGUUUUCAAGUAAAAAGUGACAAGUAGCAGUCAUGUGAAGCAUUCUUUCUUCUCGUGAGAAAAGCUACAGCAAUCACUUUUUCGCUUGCUUGGAGAAAAACGAGAAGAGAGAGAGAGAAAAGAAACUAGAGAGAGGGAAAAUUCAAGAUCUUGAUUGGAGGGUGAUUCGAACUCUGAUUAACAUGAAAUUUUACCCACACGAUCCUGUCGUCUGACUCUACUUAUUUAUUGAUUCAGAUUUUGAAUUUUCUCUUCGUUUGGUAACACCUUUCCAAAUCCACUUUUUUGAUAGUUAUAAUUUUUGGAGGUGAUUUUGUAAUAAUUUCACUUGAUUAAUAUUGGUGAUAUUAUUGUCAUCCGAAUAUUACGGAUAGACCUGUAUAUUUCUAUUAUUGUGAUAGCGAAAAUUUUUUACUGGAAGUCCUGUGAUUUUUUUUAAUUUGGAUUUUUCACGUAAAAAAUCUUGGUAUCCUGUGCCACUUAUUUUUCUUGCAUUUUAUUAUUAUUGUUGGCAUUAUUAUUUGGUGAUUUGAUCUAUCCUUAGUUUAAUUGGUACUUGGAGAAAGAGUAAUUUUUUUUAAGUUAACCCUAAUAUUGUAUACCUUGCACUGGUACUCCUUUCCCAACAAAGUGGUAUCAGAAUAGUUAGAUUGGACUGCUCAUUUGUACUAGUUAAAAAAGAUGAUUCGGAUAGUGGUUGUAUGAUAAAAUUGAAUGUAACUAAUUAUUCAAUUUGAAAGUCUAGAAUGAAAGACUACCUGUAUUAUAGAGAUUUGUUUGAACCUGUUCUAGGGGAUAAGGGUAGACCAAGUGAUAUAAGUGAUGAAAAAUGGGCUGUUAUGCACAGAAAAACUAUUGAUAAUAUUAAAAAAUGGAUUGAUCAGAAUAUUUUCUAGCACUUUGCUAAUGACAUCAGAACUGAUGUAUUAUGAAAAAAGUUUGAGAGCAUGUAUGAACAGAAGACUGGUUUGAACAAGACUAGCUGUUUGAAGCAAUUACUCGAAUGAGAUAUAAAGAUGGAAAAAAUAUAACCGAACAUCUGAGUAGUUUUCAGGGAUUGAUAAACCAUGCAACCACAUUGAAUUUGAAUUCGGAUGAUGAGGUGCAGGCUUUGUUAUUGUUUAGUUCACUACUGGAUAGUUGAAAAAUCAUGAUGAUCUCCGUCAGUAAUUUAGCUUCCAAUGGUGUGUUGACUAUGACUAUUGCAAAAAAGGCCCUUGUGAAUGAAGAGUUCAGGAGAAAAAAAGAAAGAAAUUGUCUAUUUGUUCCAAAUUCUGGUUACAGAAAAAGAAAGAAAGAAGAGGGAGAAACAAAAGUAGAGGACCCUACAACAAAAAUGAUAAAUCCAGAGACAGGUCUGAGUCACGAAAAAAUAUUGCAUGCUAUUAUUGUAAAAAGAAUGGGUAUUAUAUGAAGGAGUGCAGAAUUUUAAAAUGAAAACAAGUUGAGAAAAAAGAUAGGGUGAUGAAAAGACUACAGUAGUUGUGGCAGCUCAUGAUGAUAUAUUUGUGUUUUGUGAUGAUAGUCAGGUGAAUAUUAUCUGUUACGACAGUGAUUGGGUAGUUGAUUCAGGUGUAUCCUACCAUGUUACUCCACACAGGCAUUUCUUCUCAACCUACACCAAAGGAGGCUUUGGUUAUGUUAGAAUGAGAAAUGAGGUCUGGUGCAAAAUUAUUGACAUGAGAGACACAUAUUUGGACACAGAUAUCGGAUGCCAACUGAUCUUGAGAAAUGUUCGACAUGUUUCUAAUAUUCGGCUUAAUCUUAUUUGUACAGGAAAACUUGAUGAUGAGAGUUAUCAUAAAUUGCAAGAUAGAGGAAAAUGGAAACUCAACAAAGAAAAUCUCGUUGUUGUCAGAGGAAAGAAACAGAAUACCCUCUACUUGAUGCAAGCCAAGUUGGGAAAUGGAGAAGUGAAUUCACCUCGUGAUUCUUCAAUCAACCUCUGACAUAGACGACUUGGGUACAUAGAUGAAAAGGGGAUUCAGACACUUGUUCGCAAGUAACUUCUACCUGAAAUUAAAAGUAAUGCACUUAAACCUUGUAUUGACUGCAUUUAUGGAAAAUAACACAGAAUUGCAUUUCAAAAGUUUUUUUCAUCUAGAAAAUUAAAUCCGUUAGAAUUGGUGCACACUCAUUUUUGUUAUAUGAAAGAUAAGUCUUUUGGUAAUACUGUUUAUAUUGUAACCUUUAUUGAUGAUUUUGCUAGAAUGGUUUGGUAUUUUGUUUUGAAAUUUAAAAAUCAGAUUGUGAAUGUAUUUAAAGAUUUUCAUAAUAAAGUUGAAAGAGAAACUAACAAGUAGUUAAAGUGUGUUUGUGUUGACAAUGGUGGUAAGUACAAGGGACUGUUUAAAAGUUACUACAAAUCUCGUGGGAUCAGACUAGAAAAGACAGUACCAAAAACUCUUCAAAAAAAUAAAGUAGCAAAGAGGAUGAACAGAUUCAUCACUGAGCGGGUCAAAUGUAUGCUGUCUAAUGCUAAACUGCCAAAAUUAUUUUGAGGUGAGGCAAUGAGGACUGCAGUUAAUUUGAUAAAUCUUUCUCCAUCAAUUUCUCUAGAUGGUGAUAUCUCAGAGAGAGUAUGGAUCGGAAAGAUGUGUCCUUUAAAUAUUUAAAAGUUUUUGAUUAUCGGACAUUUGUUCAUAUUCUCAAAGAUGGGAGGUCAAAACUUGAUGUAAAAUCAAAGAAAUAUAUAUUUUUGGAUUAUGGACAUGAAAAUUUUGGUAUAGGUUGUAUGAUCAUGUUGAAAAGAAGGUGAUUAGGAGUACAGAUAUCGUCUUGUUUGAAGAUCAAACCAUUCAAGACAUUAAUAAAAGUAACAAUCCAAAAUUCUCAUAUGACAUUUCUGCUAGUUCAGAUCCAAAUCCAGUUCCAGUACCUGUUGAUUUUAAUCAAGGGGGAGUUGAGAUAGAGCAGAGAAAGGAUGUUGAUAAUAGUGAUGGUCCUGUUGUUGAUGAAUUUGAGUAUGAGACACCACCUACUCCACCACUGCAACCACAAGAUGAGUUUAGAAAAUCUACCAGAGAGAGAAAACCUUCUAGCAGAUAUAAUCUCCAUGAAUAUGUGUUGUUGACAUAUGGAGGAGAGUCAGAGUCCUACUGUGAGACUCUAGAGCAUGAGAACAAAAAUGAUUGGUUGCGAGCCAUGCAAAAAGAGAUUGUGUCCCUACUUGAGAAUUACACUUAUGAGUUAAUGAAACUGCUUAAAGAUAAAAGAAUUCUGAAAAACAAAUGGGUUUAUAGGUUGAAAACUCAGGAGCAUAGUUGACAACCAAAGUAUAAAGCAAGAUUGGUUGUGAAGGGAUUUAGUUAAAAGAAGGGUGUAGAUUUUGAAGAAAUUUUCUCUCCCGUGGUAAAGAUAUCGUCAAUUCGAAUUGUUUUGGAUAUUGCACCUAGUUUAAAUUUAGAGAUCGAGCAACUUGAUAUGAAGAUAGCUUUCCUGCAUUGUGACUUGGGAGAGAAGAUCUACAUGGACCAACCGGAGGGAUUCAGAGAAAGUGACAAGGAAAACCUUAUAUGCCGUUUCAACAGAGUUUAUAUGGGUUGAAAUAGGUAUCGAGACAAGGGUACAUGAAGUUUGAUUCCUUUAUAAUAGACUACGAGUACCACAGGAUUAGAUAUGAUCACUGUGUUUAUAUGAAAAUUUUUUCAAAUGGUGAUUUUAUUAUUCUCCUGGUGUAUGUUGAUGAUAGGGCAAAUUCUACUUUACCCCCCUGUGGUUUAACUUUUUUUACAUAACCCCUUCAUGAUUUCAAAAACUAUAUAUAACCCACUCAUAAUUUGGAUUAAAGUGUCAAAAUGACGAGAAUGAUCAUUUGUAACGGAAUCACUUAAAAUGUCAAAAAUACCCUUAUGUAAAGUUGAAAAUUAUUUAUUAAGUAAGGGGGGUUAUGUGUAUAUUUUGAAAAUCAUAACGGGUUUAUAUGGUAAAAUAUUAAAUCAUAAGGGGGUUAUAUGCUAAAAUAUAAAAAUCAUACGGGAUUAGUAUAUCAUGUAUUUAUAAGGGUGAUUUCAACAUUUUUAAAAAUUCCGUUACGAAUGACUAUUUCCGUCACUGUGACACUUUAAUCCAAACCAUGAGGGAGUUAUGUAUAGUUUUUGAAAUUAUAGGGGGGUUAUGUAAAAAAAAUACUAAACCAUAGGGGGUAAAAUGUAAUUUGCCCUUGAUGAUAUAUUGAUUGUUGGUUGUGAUACUAUGAAAAUUGACAGAUUAAAAAAGGAGUUGAGUAAAUCUUUUGUAAUGAAAGAUUUGGGUCUGACUAGACAGAUAUUGGGGGAUGAAAAUCUCAAGAGAUAGACAAAAUAAAAAACUUUGAUUGUCUCAAGAAUAGACUUCUUGUUUUUGAGUUGUAAAGCAAGAAGACAAUUGAUGUUUAUUCACUGUUGGAGUUAAUUAGUGAUCAGUUUGGAGGAUGAAGCUUUAAUGAAUGCAAAGAGAACUUUAACAUAUAAUAAAUAAAUAAAUAGGUAAAGAUGUUAUCCACCAAGAGUGAAAUAUGCGUUUCAUUUGAUUUACCUGUAAAAUAUAUAUCAUAUUCCUUGAUACACCUUUUGCGGUCUAUGCACGCAUGAAAGAAAAAGACAAUGAAAAAAAUGAGUUGGAAAAGUCUAAAUUUAAUAAUAAAAAGCAAAAAAUUUGUGUCAUAGGAAUAUUAUGCGAGUUCAUAACAAUUAAAUCACGGAAUGUAAUGAUGGACUUGCUAGUAGAAUAUUCAUUUGUUCUACCAUCAAUGCCUUUCUUUUAUCUUUCACUUUAAGCCUAAGAUAAUGAAAACAAACAGUAUCCUUCUCCUUGUUAAUUUGUUAUUGGAAAUUUUAAAUUCUUUUAGUAUAUAUAAAACAAAACCUUUUCUCUAUUCUGAUUUUACAGUUGUUGACUUUAUUGCAUUACUCCUCCUUUUAUUAUUCUUGUUAUUAUUAUUAUUAUUAUUAUUUUACAUAAAUUCUAAUAGUUGAUGAAUAAAACUCAUUGACAGUGUCGACCGUGUCACUAAUCUUGCUUGGUAGUUCGGAGUAACACAUUCUCUUUGACAAGCAACCUUCGGAAAAUGCCACUAAGAGCUAACAAGAAGGAUCCCAGUACACGCAUGCUGCUGCCUUCCGCCAAGGCCGUCUUUUGAUCUUUAUUUGUCUGAGUGUUUUUUCUCCUGUUCUCUCCUUCAGGGAUUCGCUUGAAGAUUGCGGCAGAUAGAGAAAUAACGAAGGUGAUAAAUUCUCAUUUGAAUAAUUUAUAUUCCAAUCACCCUGCUCUCUAGCAUGCCUUCAGCAAUUCCAUUUACCCCACUUGUUACAUUGAGCCAUUACCUUCAUCACACUGAAGAAGACGGGCGUAUUUUCGGCUAUGACUAUGUGCAACCUUCACUAUUUUACUUGAAGCUUGCCUAGAAUUUGACGAUGCUCUGCUCUGCCCUGAUUAAGCACCCUCUUAAAUCAGCAAAGUUCCAAUCACAUGAAUAAUGCCAGACGGCCUAAAAACUUACAUGAUGCCAGACAACCAUCCGAAGAAGCAAACAACUUAAGAGAACAACAUUAAUGUCACCAUGUUUAAAAUGAAAUUGUCUUUAAACCUGUUCGGUGGUUUCUCUUGCGGAAAGAUACAGAGAAUAUAACUGAAAUAUGUGGUAGGAUUCAAAAACGAAGCAAAUUAUCAGAAUAGAUGUCCACGAGCUGCAGGCAGUAGGUACUUGAUGUAUUGCACCCUUUGAUACUGGUACAGCAUCAUGUUGAUUCAUUGAGCUAGAAACUUCUCAGGCUUUUCGGAAUGCUCCCACUUAAUCUUUUACCCCUAGCAUGCGAGCCAAGCAUAAAACUGUUUCCAUGUCGGCAUGUGAUGUUUCACACACACACACACACAACUGGAGCAUAAGUAGACUUUUGAAGAUCCCAGAAAAGAAACAGAUUAAUAACAGAUUACCUGCAUGGAGUGAUUUAGAAGUCGAUGCACAAUAUUUCAUCAUUUAAGAACAUAAGCAAAAACAAAACUUCUCCUCGCAAUCUUCCAUUUCAGCUAGUGUUAAAGAAGAUGCCAUCUUUUCUACGUUUCACAAAGCUAGUAUGUCCAAGUGCAUAUACAUUGUUUGUGAAAUCCGUAGGCCCUUCUUUAGUUGAAAAUUGAUCAGAGAAAUAUCAGGCACGGCACGGCUCCAAUUUCAAGAACGUCUAAAUUUUGCAGCUAUCAAAACAAAUAGUAUGAAAUGCGUAUCUUCUUAAAUGUCAUGAAAAUAUUACACCUUUCCCUAACGUAUUUGUUUAAUUGAUUUCUUAGUAGCUAGUGACUAUAAACGUCUAUUCCAUCAAAACACUUACAUAGCAACUAUACUGAAUUGAAGAGCAACUGAAUUUGAUAGAUUCAACAAAUCUGUUGAGGCACGAAAAUUAGCGAAACAUAACCUUGCUUAACAACUUAAUAAAACAAACGAAAGAAGGAAAACUAUGCUUGAUGUCUGCAUGUUUCCUGCGCCUUAUCAUUCGAAGAUAUUCUGCCAUCUUGGAAAGUUGUGACUGCAUGAUAGACUAGAUCCAAAAUAAUAUGGGGGAUAGCCCUGGCUUUACUGAAGUUUGGCAUUCAUGCUGAGACGUGGGAGUAUUCAGCUUUCAUACUAAACAGCAAAUGUAUGUUUUUGCUUUUUUUAUAUAUAAAGGACGGAGACUUUCUUGGAUGAAGUGUUCCAAGUUACUGCCAGAGAAUGACCUUUUUGCCACACUUCUACUGGAUGUCUAUACAAUUUAUUACAGCAUUGACAAUUAAAGGGGAAGUGAUCAGAAUACUUAUUCUGGAUCAUACUUAAAAGGUUGGAUUCAGUCAAAUGCAGUGAAAACAAAUCAAUAACCACGACUAUCUAUGGGACCUCAAACUAUGAAUCCAAAGCAAGAAACUGGUCUAGAAAGUUUUUACGCUUUUGAACCGGCUGAAUCUUAAGCACUAUUUAGGAAUUGAAAUAAAGUAACAAUUUUAUCUUAGAAAAAAAUUUAUCAAAAUUACAAGAAUGCAGCUUAAACCUUGUCCAGAAAUUCAGAGUCACAAACUAUAUUUGCAUAUCGCAUUUCAUUUCAUAUUUACAAUAACUUUAAAUAUUAGUUAUCUGAAGUAAAAAUGACAGACAAGCUAAAGUACUAACACCCAUGAAAAACAAACAAAAAGAACCUGAAAAAGUUACCACUUAAGUGAUAUGCCACACUGAGGUUCUCCAUGGAAAUAUCAACAAGAAGUCUCUCUAAGUGGUACAAAUCCAAUUAACCGCAGCAGAUUUCUGAUCUGCUAAACUAACCAAUUAAGGAAAUCCAAUUAACAGCAGAGAAUCUCUAUGAAUUGCUACACUUAUCAAUUGAACUUGACAUAUGGACUGCGGCUUCCUCCACCAGGACUGAAGAUCUUGAGGGAUUCGCAAAAAUAUGACCAACAGAGUUCCUCAAAUACCCAGUUCAAAAGUGAACUUAAAUAGUGUUAGUUCCAGAAAAUAAAUGUUUAGGGGACAAAAACCGGUAGGACCAAAAGUUGCAAAUAAUGUGAAGGUCCUCUUUAUCUCCCGUCCAUAAACUUCUUGCCACCAGGAUCAAUCUUCAGCAUCAACAUAAGAAGAGAAGGAUUCUUCUAUUUUUCAGUAGCAGAAUCAAGUAAAAUGGAAAAGGUAGAUGCAUCCAAAGAGAAUACUCUGUGAACCAUUUCUUCGUAAUAGGCCAUUGCGUCCUCAUAAUGACCUCCCGUAAGGAGUCCAUGCAGAAUAACAUUGUAUGUAACACUAUCUGCCAGGCAACCCUUCUCUUCCAUUUUUGCAACAAGCUCUUUAGCUUCGACAAGCAAACCUUCUGAAAGCAGGCCAGCAAUCAUGGUUUUGUAUGUUUUGACAUGAGGGUCCAAUCCUUUGAGGAAGAGAUUUUUGAAAAGAUGUCGGGGACUAUCGAGCCUCCUGCUUUUGCACAACCCAUCAAGCAUGAUAGUGUAGAUUCAAAUGUGAAUAUUUUUUCCAUCAGCUUCCAUUGCAUGGAAUAACUGCAAUGCUUCGUCAACAUGUCCAGUCUUCCAUAAUCCAUCCAACACCACACAGUAAGUGUGAAAAUCAGGCUUCAUGCCAGAAGCUUGCAUCUCAUUGAAAAUUUCUCAUGCACUAAGAUGCCUUCUUGAACUAAAUAACCCCUGCAACACAGUGUUAUAAAUAACGAUAUUAGGUGUUAAACCUUGAUGUCGAAUCUCUCGAAAGAGAUUCAUGGCUGCUUCCACUUUCUUGGUCUUGGAAUAGGCAUUUAUUAGAAUACCAUAGCUAUGGAGAUCAGGUGUAAGGCCACUAGCAACCAUGGUAUUGAAAACUCUCCUUGCAUCAUCUAUUCGCUUCUGUAAACAGUACCCAUCCAUUAAGGAACUGUGUGUGCCCCGGUCGGGAUUUUGACCUUGCUGGAUCAUGAUCUGGACUAUCUCGUCAGCAUCUUCUAUAUGCCCUUCCUUACAUAGUGCAUCCACCACUAUACUAAAAGUAAUAACAUCUGGAACAAUGUUAUAAACCUUCAUCUCAGAAGAGAGCUUGUCAACGUCCUUCCAUCUGCUUAAGUUGCACGGACCUUGAAUCAAACAAUUGUGAGUGACAACAUUCGGGGGAAUGUCCUUUUAAAUCAUCACCUGUAAGAGGGCAAGAGCUUCAUCAACCAUUUUAUCCUUGCACAAGCUGUCAAUGAUGGUACUGUAAAUAAUUGCAUUAGGUUUACAUGGUCUUUUUUGUUUUUCCAUUGCUCGGAGGAAGUCAAUGGCAGUUCCAGUGUUUCCCUUCUGACAAAGUCCACGUAUCACAAUCCCAGACGUAACUUCAUCGGGCUCACAAAGUUUUUCAUAUAUUAUCUUUUUGAACAAUUCGUGUGCCUGGAGAGCCUUAUGUUCUUGAAACAGUCCUCUGAGUGGAGUAUUAAAGGUGACUACAUUGGGCACAAUACCACGCUUAAAGAAUCCACCCAGUACAGAAAACCCCAAAUCCACUCGACCCACCAGACAAUAACAAUUAAUCACAACAUUGAGGGUGCACUCAUCAACCACCAUGCCUUUGACGCACAUAUCUCUAACUAGGGGAAAAACAGAAGAAUAAUGAUUCUUCAUCUUUGCGAUUCGGCUUAGCAGUUGAUUGAAUUGAAUAACACAAGGCAGAGGCCUCAUCCGGACCAUCUGCUCUACAAGCUCAGAGCAUCAUCAAGACUGUUGAUUUUAUUAAUAUCAUUCCUCAAUCCAGAUUGAAAUUUCAAAGCAUUUCCACACGACGCUCUAACUUUACUACUACCAGCAGAAUAGAAAGCUAAUUGGGGCCCUAAUGCAGAGAGAAAUGAAGCAAGAGUAGUACAAGCAGUAGUACCUAAUGAAGCGACAGUAGUACAAGCUGUUGGGAUCCUUGAUGUCCCACUUAUCAUGUGAUGGUAGAAGAAAUUUAAAUAAACAACAUAUGACAAAUUGAAUAAACAAGACACUUGGCAUAAAUAUAGAAGUGGUACUGAAUUGUCACUGGAAAAGUGGCACUGACGAUCCCGUGUGCCCCUUUCCACCCCCAACUUCCAUGUUUAGUUUAUUACGUCAAAUUAACCACCACUUAAUAGACUUCCUUAUCCUCCUAAGUCCUAACAACCUAAUCCGCCACUUUAUUUAUUACUUGUGAUAAAGGCACAUUCGAUGUGUAUACAAUUUAUGAACAAUCACAAUCACUUUUUAUAUGGAAGCAUUUAGUACAAAAUUUUCAUAAAGAAAAAAAAAACUUUCAUCUUUUAAAAGUUUUUUAAGUAGAAAUUUAAUUAACGUAGUGGUUAUAAUGUUUUAAUUAAUGUAAUUGUUAUAAUGUUUGUGGGUGGUUACAUUGGUUGGCAAUAAUCAACAACAUGUAAUCGGAUGAUAAAGAUAUACUCCCUCCGUCCCGAAAAGUUUGUCACUUUUCGGGAAUUGGAAUAUUUUUCAAUAGUAGACAAGAAUAAGAGAUAGCUGUCUGUAAUUCCCAAAUUAUCCCCGCCAAGCUGUCCAAAUUUUGACUAUAGUGGUGCGGAUGAAGUUAUUCAAAUGGUUUAUGCAAACUAGUCAACACUUUGGACCCACAAAUUAUUAAAGCUACACUAACUUUUUGCUUAUUUUGCACUGCACGCGCUAGUAAACAUUGGCUAGCAUCAGCCACGCACUUCAAAGCGUGUCUUGUUCUUUUGACAAUUUAUGCUGGACCCACAUAUUUAAAGGUAGUGUCAGAAGGGUAGAAUUAGAAGAAGGAGAAAAAUUCAUUUGCCAUUUUAGGUAUGUGACAAACAUUUUGGGACAGAUCAAAAUGGAAAGCAUGACAGUUUCAAUGGAACGGAGGGAGCAAUUAAGUGAUUGUAAGGGUAAAGUUGAAAAUCUAAGAAAUGACAUAAAAGGUUUACACCAAAUUCAAUGCCCUCCCUUUAUAGAUAGUAUAGAUAUUACUAUAUUUUUUUUCCCUCCAACCAUACCCUCAGCUUUGUAUUUAUUUUUCUUUUUUUCUUACUUUUUCCUAAUUUAUAAUUUAUAAGCAUAAAAUGUACUAUUAGUUAACAACUUUAAUAAAUUACAUACCCAUACUAUCAUUCUUUAUAUUAUGCUACACACACGUUGAGUUUGCCUUUUCAACUGGUAUAGCUAAAGUUAAAGGAAGUCACCAUUGGUGCAUGGAAAUUUGUUUGCUAGUGAAGACCUCCAAAAACUUGGCAAGCAAAAUUGCUUGAGAAGAAUAUCAGAUAAGAUCAUUAAUGCCUUUCAUCCCUUUAUUGUUAGAUGUUUAAUAAAAACAAGCAAACAAGCAUUUAGAUGACAAUUAAUAGGGGGUUAAACCCAAAAUUGUGGAAUACUGAAGAAUGCUAACUUUGGUCAAUCUGAGAUAUCUUGCUGCACAAUGUACAAGACAAAAGGUAGCCUUAAACCUUUAUCCCGACUCCAGCCCUUUAAGGCUUUAACUCAAAGUGGAUGACCAUCAUCAUCACCAUUCACCAUCCUCUCUCAAAAUUAUCAAGUCCUCUGUCGACAAAAAAAUUAAACCAAGUUAUUUGGAAUUUUAAUAAUUUUAGAAGUUGAUUUAUUAUUUGGUAACUAAAUUAGAAUUUAUGUCAAAGUUGAUUUAGGAAAUAAGGUUGAGUCAUGUUUUGGUAUUAUAAUUAGAAUAGGAUUUAUGGUUAUGUUUCUCUAUUUAAGGACUUGAACUCCACGUUUGUAUUUGAGAGAGAGUUGGUCCCUAUGAAUAAUAAAAUUAUUAGCCUCUCGAGGGCUUUAGUUUGCGUUUUGCAAGUUCUUAUUCUUGUUUUGUUUAUGGCUUACUUAUCGUCUAGAUUUUGCAUAGUCAUCACCGUUUCUGAUGAACCAAUAAAGUCUCAAGGUUAUUUGCACCUUUCUUGAAGUUUUCAUUCGUCGUCCCUGAUUUCUCUUAAUAUAUCCAAAUUAUCAUUUCUUCAAUAUCUUCUGCUGUCUGAUUUUUUGUGCUAACAAGUGAUAUCAGAGCUCUAGGUUCAAUAAAGGGUAAAAAACAAAAAAGCCCCAUGUGGUAAGCCUAAUACACAGAAAAGCCCCCUAUGAUUUCAAAAUAUACAACACGACACCUCAUACUUUGAACUAAAUUGUAAAGGUGACGGAAUCCGUUAAAUUUAACGGAAAUGACUUAUUGGAACCUAAAAAAAAAUUUUAUACCUAAUUUUUAUCAAAUAUACCUAUUCUACCCCUUAACCCUCAAUUCUCUCUAUUUAGAGAAUAAAACAAAUGAUUUUUUUGAACUGUCUUUUGCUUAAUUAUAUCAGGGCAUUUUGGUCAUUUUGUCCAUUUCCGUUAAGUUUAACGGAUUCCGUCACCUUUACAAUUUAAUUCAAAGUAUGAGGGGUCGUGUUGUAUAUUUUGAAACCAUGGGGGCUUUUCUGUGUAUUAGGUUUACCACAGGGGGCUUUUUUGUUUUUUACCCGUUCAAUAAAUUGAUGUUGGGAUGCCUAUAGACAUUGACGAAUUGACCCGAUUACAAGGAUUAAUUGUGGGUUUUUUCCAUUGUUAGAAUUAAAGUAUAAAAAUUGUUGUGAAGAAAUUAGUUGAUCGAGUUAGAUUACAAGUUUGGUCAUGGAAUAUCUAGUUUAUGAGGAUUGGACCAUAAGAUUGGUUCGAGAAUUGUCAAAUUUAUUGCGAAUGUUACGAUAGAGAUUGAAAAAGAAUCUUGUUAGUUAAAUUGUGAUUAUGAAAAUCACAAGAUGAAUUGUCAAUAAGUUGACAUCAAAUUGGGUCAUGAAAACAGUCUAUUCAGAAGUGUAAAUUAUUUUCACAAGUGAAAAAUAAGUUGAGUGACGAGAUAAAUCUGUCCAAGUGUGUGGAAUAUUGCAGCAGCAAAAAUCAAGGGGAUUAUUGAUAGUGAACCUGAUCCAAAAGAGAGUUUGAUUUAAAGGAGGCAAUGUUAGCAUAUUAAAUCAAGACUUAAAAUUAGAAAUUUUCAUAUUAUUAUUUAGUAGUGUUUUAGUCAAGUUAAGAUUUUAGUAAUUUUAUUAAAGUCAUGUUAUGAUAAUUUUAUUAUUUAGGAAUUAGUAUCUUACUCCCUCUGUCCCAUAUAUUUAGUCAUGUUUGGGGAUAUAUGCUUUUUAUGCAUAGUAUAUUUCGCCAAAAAAAAUUUCCUUUUAUUCCACUUUUACCCUUAUUCAUGUGCUGAUCAAAGUAAAAAAUAGAAAUCAAUCCUAUCAUAUUUGUCUUUAUGCAUCAUUAAUGAAGGGUAUAAGGGAAAUUUUAGAGUAUAAAGUAGUUAAAAAUAUCAAACAUGACAAAUAUUUUGGAACAGUUAAAAAAGGAAAGUAUGACACUUUCAAUGGGACGGAUGGAGCUAGUAUUAAUAAAUUUCUUAUGGUUGUAAGAUUUGUUUAUUAUGAACAAGUUGAGAAGAGUCAUCUAGUUUAUAAAUAGGGAGUCAUAUUAUUGUGUUUAAUUGAGAAAAGUGAAGGAUUGAAAGUCUUGUUCUUAUGAUGUGAUUAAUAGAUUAUUGUUAGUUUUAUUCCUCUUCUCCUAUACAUAUUUUUAUGUGUGUAAAUUACCUCCCCAUAUCUAUUGAUUUUAUCCCAUAUAUCUUCUAUAUAUUUUUGUUGAAUUUCUUGGAUUCUACAUUUAGUAUCAGAGCCUUAGGCUCAAGAGUUUGACCUUAGGGUAUUUGUGGUGUCUAAAGAGUGUGCAAAGUUUUUUGAUAGAGGAGCUUGUACUAUUGAAGGAUGCAGCAGUUGUGGUAGAGUACUCGUAUAUUGAAGCAUUGGACCACAAGAAUUGGUCUUGGAGUCCUCGUUCGUUGAUUGGAAUUAGGAAAAAGUGACCCUAAUAGGACAGAGAUCUAAAAAGAGAGACUAUGUCGUGAUUGUUGAUGUUGUGCAGUGAUCAAGAAAAAAGUUCCUGCCAAAUUGUUGAUUGUACAUAGUUAAAUUUGAUCAAGCCAGAAGCCAAAAAAGUGAAGAAAUACAAGCAGGAAAGACACUUAAAUCUUGUGAAGGUACAUAAGAUUGUUAAUUUGUGAGUUGCCAUGAAGAGGGAUUUUGUCAAAGAAAAUAUUUAUUCGAAUGAAGAUUUGAACAUUGAUUUUAUUCAUGGGGUAGAUAAAAUUAUGAAAAGUUGUGGGAUUGCAAAUUUUUGUGGUGCAAAUUAUUGGCAAAAGGAAAGAUAUGAUUUGUUGUUUUUUGGAAAUUGUGUGAAUAAUUAUCAUGUGAGAAACCAGUGAUUUCAUUAGUGAAUGAGUCAAUAUGGAGGGAUACCUUUAUGGUAGGAAUCUGCCUAUGGUAGGAAUGCCGGCAGAGAGCGACACGUGUUGGGGGCAAAACGGUCCAAACGGAGACGUUAAAUUGUUGGAGAGCGCGUGCAUAGGGAAUCAAGUAGAAGCGUGUACGGAUGGAAGCAAACAGCAGACUGACUUCCGUACUAUGUUAUUACAAGUCUUUCCUUUGUACCAAAUAUUUGGUGACCCCACUUCUUCCCCAUAGCGUCUGAAGUAAGCUUCAACUUUGGCUUUCCAUUAUUGAAGUUCGGCUUCCACUAUGGACCCGAAUACCGGAUGACACAAUGUAACUGCAUUCAUUUUAUAUUCAUUUUUACAUUACAUAUGCAUGUCAUUCUUUUUAGUGGUUGCACCUUAUAUUCGUGAACUAUCUGCAGAAAAAAAAUAAAAUUUUAGACUAUACCAAAUUUGUUAUACCAAAUAUGUUAUUCUUAUUAUUGUAUUAUUUGUUACGCCACUUUUCUCAUUUUGUUAGGUCUACAUUAAUGCAAGUUUAAUUCUUAUUAUGUCUCGUGUAUCAGAAAAUACAUAUUAUCUUAUUGACGUUGAUACGUCCAAUAGGUAAUCAAAUUGAUGCUAAAAUUUUAGAAUGAAUAAGUUGCUUUUGCAUAACGGUUGUAAAGGUUUCUUGAGACUUUAUGAAUUAUUCUUCUUGCGUUUGCAAAAACAAUUGCAGAAGAUUUUUUGUAGUGGAAACGGAGUUAAAACUUGCUAUAGGUUACUUUCCUAUAUUUCAAUUUUAUCCUAAAGGGUAAUUUGCUGUUCAACCUAAUUUUAUUCCAAUUUUAUCCAACUAGUAAAUCAACUUAUGAAAAAUAGUGAAGUGGAUAAUUUAUGGAGGCAAGCCGUAAAUAGUGGGUGGUUAAUUGUAAAACGCCUUUAUGUUUAUUUUAUUUCGAUAAAUAAAUUUGUUUUUGAGAAAAUGGGUACUCUUUCCUUAUAAUACAGGAAAGCCAUAAACAGCAACUGUUUUAUUAGAAAACGGGCUUAUUUUCUUUUUUUUUUCGAAAAGAAAAUUUGUUUUUGGAAAAAUGAGUGUUAAAAUAAAUUUUCUUUUGAUCCGAUCAAUAAAUUUUAUCUAGACAUCCAUACAAAAAUUUAUUUAUCGGAUAAAAUAAAAAUAAACCUGUUUUUUAAUACAACACUAGCUCUUUAUGGCUUUCCGCCAUUAUAAGAAUAGAGUACACAUUUUUCCAUAAAAAAAUUUAUGGAUAAAAUAAAAUUCUGCAUAAACCCAUUUUCCAAUAAAACACUAGCUCUUUAUGACUUUCCUCCAUUAUAAGAACACAGUGCCCGUUUUUCUCAUAAAAAAUUUUAUUUAUCGGAUCAAAUAAAAAUAAACCCGUUUUUCAAUAAAACACUAGCUCUUUAUGACUUUUUUCCAUUAUAAGAACAGCGUACCCAUUUUUCUAUAAAUAAAAAAUUUUAUUUAUUGGCUAAACUAAAAAUAAACACAUUUUUUUAUAAAAUACUAGCUCUUCCUGACUUUCCUCCAUUAUAAGAAUAGAGUACCCAUUUUUGCAUACAAAAAUUUUAUUUAUCGGAUAAAAUAAAAAUAGAUCCUUUUUGAAUAAAACACUAGCUCUUUAUGGCUUUCCUCCAUUAUAAGAACAGAGUACCCAUUUUUCAUAAACUAAUUUAUUUAUUGGAUAAAAUAAAAAUAAAUCUAUUUUUCAAAAUAAGCACCAGCUACUUAUAGCUUUCCUCCAUAAAUUAUCUAUUUUCUUAAGUUAAUUUAUUAGCUGGAUAUAAUCAGAAAAAAAAUUAGGUUCAACAGCAAAUUACCCUUUACGAUAAGAUUGAAAUACAGGAAAGUAACCUAUAGCAAGUUUUAACUCCAUUUCCAAUACAAAAAAUCUUCUGAAAUUCUUUUUGCAAACGCAAGACACCUAAUUCAUAAAGUCUCAAGAAACCUUUACAACCGUUAUGCAAAAGCAACUUAUUCAUUCUAAAUUUUUACCAUCAAUUUGAUUAUCUGUUGCAUGUAUCCACCUGAAUAGGAUAUUAUGUAUUUUCUGGGACACGAGACAUAAUAACAAUUACACUUGUAUUAAUGUAGACCCAACAAAAUGAGAGAAAUAGCGUAACAAUUAAUACACUAAUAAGAAUAACAGAGUUGGUAUAACAAAAUUAGUAUAGUCCAGAAUUUUUUUUUCUGCAGAUAGUUCAUGAAUAUGAGAUUGAACCACUAAAAAAAAGACAUCUAUAUCUAUAUAAAUUUGAGAAAGAAUUUUUAGCAACAAGCCUUCACACGUCUUCCCACUACCAAUUCUAUUUUUCUAGCAUUUCACAUUUAAUUUAAUUUAUAAAAUAUAUUUCUCUUAACUUCUACAUCUACUCUUCACAUUUGAAAUUGUUAGUUAUUUUUUAAAAUCAUUUCAUUUCAAAUUGUUGGUUAAUGUGCAUGUUAUCUUAUUUGUACUUCAACCUAUCACGUUUUCGAUUACCUUGCGUUAUUUAUGAUUCUACUCCAAUUAAAACUUUUAUAAGACCAUAACAAGAGAUUACAAAUAUGACAUCCUUUCAUGCUUUCUUAUUAAUUUAAAUAAGUAAGAUUAUUUACACUAUAUUUUUGUUAUUCACACUUCAAUAAUCAUUUUGAUCAUAUAGUUUUCAUUAAUUAGACUAUAUGAUAAAACAAAUGGUGGAAUUACAAAUAAUAAAAAAUGGAGUGCAAAUAACAUUUUUCUAAGUAAGAAGUGCCUUCCAUGCCUUUCUAAUUUAAAUAAGUAAGAAGUGGCUCCACUUAUAUAGGAAUUUGGUUUGAAAUUUAUUAGUGGGAAGGUAAAUAAAGAGAAAACAUUACCAAACUUAGUAAAAGUAAAUAAGUAAAUAAUAAUAUUUUAUCUUUUAACUUAGUAAUCCUAAGUAAAAUAGCAAAAUUAUACAGAAAACAAAAGGAAAUAAUGUCGUGGAUUUAAAAAAUCAAGAAUGGUACCAUUCAUGAAAUCUAAAUUAUGAAAUCACUAAAUAAAAAAAAAGUACUACUGGCCUUUUAACGUGGAAUUUUUUUUUUGAUAAAUAUGAUAAUAACAACACCAAUUCUACCAAAAAUUUUAAAAAAAGUAACAUUAUAGUUUAAGAAAAAAUAUAGAACAUUCGACCCUAAAAUACUACUUAAUUUGUAUAUAUCUAACCCAAAUUUGACCCUGAUUAGAUUUGAAUAAGAAUGUAAAACCCAAACACUAAGGAUAACUUUUGGUAUCAUUAAUUAUUUUAUGUAUUCUUAUUACCGUCUUCAUAUGUAAAUAUGUAUUUCCUAUGUUAAAUAAAAGUUAUCUUUAAUUAGUUGGCAAUAUCUAGGCAGACUUAGUCUUUCAAAACAAUUGACUAUUGUAUUCAUAUAGUAGGCAAUAUCCGAAUCUGUGCUUUUACCUUGCAGCCGCGGACAACAUGUUAACGUUGCAUCUCCACGCGCGAUUCCACGGCUUAACGUCUCCGUUUGCAAUCCAUCCACCUGCAACACGUGUCGGCCUUUGGAGGCCUUUCUACCAUAGGCACGGUCAACGCGUUCCUACCAUAAAGGUAUCCCUAUAUGGAGGAAUUCUUUGACAAGACGGUAAUAGCAACAAAAUUGUAUGCGAAGUACAAGCUUAAUCUACUCCUACGUAUGAAGACGAAGACGAGGAAUAAUAAAAAAUUGGAGUUAUACAUUGUCUACGUUGCGAUGGAACUUGCAAAGGCUAUUCAAGCUAGAGAUGGCAUUAGACCCAAUUAUAUGAAAAGCUUGGUUUAAAGAAGGCAAUGUUGGCAAAAAAAAUUAAACCAAGCUAUUUAGAAUUUUAUUAGUUUUAGAAGUUGAUUUGUUAUUUGGUAACUAGAUUAGAAUUUGGGGAAAAAUUCACUUUUCGUCCUUAAACUUUGAAUUAGGAACACAUUUCGUCCCCAAACUUUUAGACGCAUCACAUUUAAUACAUGAAUUAAUUAUUUUGGGCCACAUUUAGUUCAAAAACAGUAAAAAAUUUAAUUUGGAUGGAGAAAAUGACAUGGCCGUUAAUUUUGACUGAGAAAUUAUUUUUACUUAACGGCCACGUGCCAAACACGUGACUUUCUCCAUUCAAAUUAAGUAAUUUACUGUUUUUGGACUAAAUAUUGUAAAAAAUAAUUAAUUCAUGUACUAAAUGAAAUGCAUCUAAAAUUUUGGAGACAAAAUGUGUCCCUAACUCAAAGUUUAUGGAUGAAAAGUGGAUUUUUCCCUUAAAAUGUGUGUCAAAGUUGAUUUAGAAAAUAGGAUUGAGUACGUUUUGGUAUUAUAAUUAGAAUAUGAUUUAUGGUUAUGUUUCUCUAUUUAACGACUUGAAGUCCACGUUUGUAUCUGAGAGAAAGUUGGUACCUAUGAGAAAUAAAAUUCAUUCGCCUCUCCAAGGUUUUAUUUUCGUUUGCGUUUUGCAAGUUCUUAUUCUUGUUUUGUUUAUGGCUUACGUAUCGUCUUGAUUUUGCAGCCAUCACCGUUUCUGAUGAACCAAUAAAGUCUCAAGGUUAUUUGCACCUUUCUUGAAGUUUUCAUUCAUCGCCCCUGAUUUCUUAAUGUAUCCAAAUUAUCAUUUUUUUUAAUAUCUUCCGCUGCCUGAUUUUUUGUGCUAACAUCCGACCAACAUUGUAUAUUGUAUCAGUAAACAUUCUUCACCUCCACAACAGAUGAGACCUGCCUUUCAGUCACAUUAUUCAAAUUCUAAAGUAGUCUAGGUUAGCAUUCAAUUCUAAAAUGCUACUCAUGCCUUUUUUACAACCAUUUCGCCAUCAUUAUUUCAAGCAGUGUUGUAAUCUUGCAUCCUCAAUGAGAAGUAGCCUGCUUUUGCUGAAGUUUGACAUUGAGAUGUGGAAGCAUACUGGCUUCAUUUCCACAAUUUUCUUAUUUGUAUUUUAAUUUUAACUUCGUCUCUUAUAUGUGAUAAAUUGACAUUUAAAGUAGAACAAAAUUUCAACGGUAUCUUAACUCCAAGAAUGUGAACUGUGUGGAAGAACAAUAUUUUCUGAGAUAAACUGAAAGUGGAACUUAUUCUACCUUGAUAAAGCAUAUCGCAGCUUCAAUCUGGAGACAUUUCUACAAGGUCUUGUUGAGAUCUUCACCUUAGGGCACGGGCACAAAAAUAAAUGUUUAAAAUGAGCAAGAAAACUUAUUGUUCUUGACCCAAAAAACAAGCAACUGUCAUUGUUUUUGCAACAGAUGAUCCAUCACUCACUAGUGCAUGCAUUAACAAAACCACACAAAUAAAAUCUGCAUAGAGCAGCGCUGUAUGGCAGAUCAACAAAAGAUUGCUUCUCAAAUGUUUUUCAAGGGCCACUAAACAGUUUACGUUUUCCACAGUUUUAAGCAUAACAUACUUGACGAGGGUAUCGUUAGUAGAGCCAUAGAAAUUGUUCACAAGAUUGAUUUAAGAAAUUAGUCUUAAUCUCUUCCGUUGAAUUCUUUUACAUAAAAUUUAUCAUAACUUUUUUCCACUUUUAAUACCUAAUUGAUUGUUUAUAUGCAGUCUUAUCUGACGUGAAAUCUUCACACUCCAUACAAACUUCCACCGUCCCCUGCUCUCCAAAAAAGAACAAGAAAAAGAACCGAUAAUAUGAAACUUGCUAGAAUAGAACAAAGUGUAUUAUCAACAUUUUGAUGAGCCAGCAAGUCUUCUUUCUUUUCCUUUUUUAUAUUGACCAUUGCAGUUGGUGACCUAACAGAAGUUCAAUGAAUUGGUAUAUUUGUGCAACAAAAGCUAUUUCCUAAGUUAUUAUUGCAAUUUAGCAGCAAUCAAAUACUAAAAUUAAAGAAUUCAUUAUCAAGUUUAUUUUAAAUGAACAACUAAACAGACAAGUAAAUGUAGUUAUCAGGAGAACAAUAUGAAGAGAACGGAGAGUUUCUGGGACAGAUUAUUCCAACUUAUUGUAAGAGAGAGAAUUUUCGCCACAUUCCUAUUUAGCAUCUAUACAAUUUAGUACAGCAUUGACAUCAAUUUUAGAUAAUGAAAGCUCAAUGAGUUCUUAUACUGAUACAACUGUUGAAAGUUUACCAUUGCCUACAAAAUACAGGUUUGAAAGGUUUACCACUAAGGAUCCUUCUGUAGUUCAGUUGGCAGUUAAACAGAAAGUGAUCAGAACACAUUUUCUGGAUUAUACUUGAAAAGUUAGUCAUCGGUCAAAUGCAGUGGACAAAGUCAAAAACCACGACCAUCCAUGGGACCUCAAAAUUUUAAUCCAAACCAAGGGCCUGUUUGGAAUCUCAAGUUUUUUACAAGUUUGUUUGCUACUAGUUUUUUAACAACUUUUGCUACAGGAACCCCAAAAAACUUAUCAAAGUUUUUAACCUACACACUUCAAAUCUAAUACACAAAAAACUUUCCCUUCAACUUUUCUUCUUUUUCCUCCCCCACCCAACCCACCACGUCCUCCGUCUUUAGCUGGAAAGUAGUAUGAAAAGAAAGAAAAAUGGCUGAACCACUUGCAGAGGAGAGAGGCAGAUCCGAGGCUUUAGAUCCGAGGGGUUAAAUAUGAUCCGAGCUUGGAUCCUAGCUGAUAUGAGAACUUCCUCAAAGUGAUCCGAGCUCGGAUCAACUGACCUCGGAUCCAUUACUCCAGAAGUUCAGACGAGGCCUCGGAUUCCUCUUUGGUAUGGAUGGAUCCGAGCUCGGAUCCAUCUCAAUUUGCUUUCAUCUUCUCUUUGUCUCCAUUUUCGUUCCUUGUUUUCUUUGCUCAACACAGAAUCACUAAUGCUCAUCUCUUUUUAAUCAUAUGUGCGAGGGUCAUGCAUUGAUAACCUUCAAAAUAUCACAAGUUUAUGCAUUAAUCUAUUCAUUUUUCGAGUUUCCAUUAUUCAAACAACAUUUAAGCAAUUUGUACCAAAAAGAGUUCCAAUAUGACUUUAAUCCUCUCAAAACAUACCAAAAAGUUCAUGCCAAACUGUACAAAAUGUACGUUAAAUAUUCACUUAUUAAAUUUCUCCACACUUAAAUCAUUGCUUGUUCUCAAGCAAUUCACACAUAAUCAGUUUCAAUGAUUUUAAGAGGUAAAAUAAUACAUGUACUUUUGUUGAAUUUAAUUUCUCAUGACUAGAAAAUCAAUCAUUAUGCCAUUGUUCAAAUUGCAUUAAAUACUCAUAAUAUCAAGUAAAGAAAAGAUAAUUAUACCCUAAUUUAACAAGUUAAACUUAAUUUCUCACUCUAACCUAAUUUCACAAGUAAACAAACCACAUAGUCAAUUUAUAGUCUUCCUCCUCCUAUAACCAUCUUUUUCUCAAAAUUUAACAACUAAGAGGAACUUUAUUUUACUUAAAUAGUGAACAUGUCUUUUGAAGCGAAAAUCGACAUUUUUAGGUGAAAAUCCCCGAUUACUUAACAUUUCACUUACUCAAAUUGUUAUGCAUGCUCUUAACUCCAGUACUUUUUUACCCAAAUGUCAACAUUUGUAGAUGCCAACCCUCGGUUACUUGGCACGAGAAUUAUUGGAGUAGAACAAAUAUUAUUAUUUAUAUAUUUUAACAAAUCAAUAACUAAAUAUUCCCUCAUUGAAAAUGUUUAAGAAUAAUUAAAGGAAGAGUAUGGCUUCUUAUUGACUAUAUCAAUCACUUACUUAUAAAAUUAAACAAAGAGGAGAAAUCUUAUUAAACAUGUAAAAUUAUAGGCAUAAUUUUCCUUACUUAACCGAAUAUACUUUCUAAAAUGCAAAAAUUUUAAUUACAUAAUAACCAAUUCCAAGUUAAAUGAAGAUUAAAACUUUUCAAAAUACAUAUAAAGUUUCCAAAAAUGAAAGAAUUAGACACUUAAUGUGAACAAUUUGGCCGUUUUUGAAAAAUUGCAAAGCCAUAAUUAAAUACUGAAAAAUAUUUUAGAAAAAUUUUAACAGAAUUUCCCUUAUAAAUGGACAAAACUCCCUGUCAACAUACCCAAUUUCAAGAAAAUUAUGGCAAUAUUUUCAAAUAUAAUUCCAACAUUUUUAAGCCACAAUAAACUGAAAACAUGCAUUUCAAGACACAAUCAAGGCAUAAGAUAAUCAAAACACAAAAUACUCUCUUCCCCACACUUAAAAUUCACAAUGUCCUUAUUGUGAAAGAAGGAAAAAGAAACUAGUACUCCCUAUAAAGAAGUGGUGAUGCAAUUUGAAGCUACGAAUAUCAUGAACAUCCAAAUUCUGUUCAAACUGAAACAAAGGAUAUGGUGAAACAUAAGUAGCACAAGAUUAACAAAAGAAAUGAAGACUUCGAGAUUUAAACAUAAUAAAAGCAAGAAAAACAAAAGACUUCAAAGCUGUUAUGUUCACAAAGAAACAAAAGAAACAUCAUCAAAGGGAUCUUCAAGGCUGUGUAGAAUCAGGAUCAACGCUCUCAGCAGCACCUUGUGACCCAUGGGAUGUGCCAAUGUGGCCCUCCUCAGUGGUAGGAAUCGAAGAAGGUGAACGACGAAUGUGAAAGUGGUCCUCCAUUGCUUGAAGACAUCGAUCAUCCGUUGCUCAUGCUGAUCAAUUCGCUCCAUGACCCUUGUCUCCAUACAACAGAUAGCCUUGAAGACUUCUUGCCACUUGGAUCUGGGAGGAGGUGGGGGUCGUGGAAUGGGAGGAGGUGGAGUCGGCUGUGCCUCCAUUUCUUGAGGUUCUUGAUCUGGUUGAGAGUGAGGUGGAAGCUGAGCGGAGGUCGACGCUUCUCCAACGUCUCGAACCAAGGAGGCUCAAAAGUCUGUAGGGAUACCCAAGAACCUUAAUAAUACAACAUUUACCUUAUCGACUGCCUUGGUAGUAAGGGUUCUCUCUGCACCCAAUGGAACCUCGAGCUUCUCAAACAGAAGAGAGAGGAAGCGAGGAAAUCCAAAACAAGUCUCACCGGCUCACAUGUGUGCUGUAGUACGCAUGUAGCUAAUGAUAAUGCUUGUUAAAGGGAUCCCUGUCAACUGUCGACCUAUUCCAUGUAUCAUCUUGUCCAAGAAAUAGAGGUCACCAUUACGCAGCUCCCUAUUUCCACUCCUCUUCGGUACCACAUUAAAAGCAAACAGAUAGAAAAUAAUGUGGUACCUAGGUUCAAAUGAAUCUGCAUAUACUAUUAGCUUCUUCGAACUUCUUCUCUCACGGUAUUGACCCUUAAGACGUGAUAUAGCUUCUCCCACUUGCCAUGGAUCACGUGUCUUAAAUUUUUUGGUCAAUUUCACAUCCUCCCUCGAAUCCUUGAUUUGGAAAUAUGUCGUAAUUGUCCCGCGAUGGAUGGCAAUUCGCUUUCCUCCAACUCAGGAGACAAUUAGAUUCCCACUGUGGCCUUGCUUUUCUUCAACAUUGGCAUAAAAUUCUCGCACCAAAUUGGGAUAAUAAUGCUUCGGUAAUUUGAGUAUAUUCUCCCAUCCAAGUCGCUUAAAUGCCAUGAAAAUCUUCUAGUGGUCAUCCACCUCCGGUGCCAAGUGCUUUUCAAUGAUGAUUUCUUUGGUUGAUCCUGCCUUGUACCACUGUUGAUUUUCUAAGAAUGUGAAUGCUAAGGUGACUCCUCACGACUAGUGGAUGCUCUCUUCCGGCGUGACCGAGGAGGUGAUUCCGGAGAAGGAGAUUCCUCCACUGGCGAGAGAGACUCCUCAGGUACUGAAGGAGUACGCUUUUCACUUGUAAAUGGUGAAGGUGUACGAAUAGUAGCCCUUCUUAUGCGAACCAUGGUGCCUAUAUCAAAAAUAAUAUCAAUGCAUAUUAGAAACAAUCCAUACCCCUUGAAAAUACACUUUAAAAAUGCUGAGAAGUCAUUUGAAAAAAUUUCAGCAGAGUUUUCCCUUGAAAAAGGACGAAACGCCCUGUCAAGAAUUACCAAAAUUCAAACAAACCUCUUAACCCUUUAUGACAUCCACUCUCAACAAUUGAAAAGCAUAUUUCGAAUUAGAAUCUCAUUAAUGGUAUGAAAAAUCCAAUCACUUGAGAAUUUAAGCUAUAUUCAAGAAUAGAAUAAAAUCUCAAAGUAAAAAAAAGGACUUUCAAAGAUAAUGUGCAACAACUUUGAACCUUAACCAUUACUUCAAAGUAUCAUCUCCAUAUAUAUUAGCAAAACAUCCUCAAUUGGAACAAUUCUCAACGUAUAGUAAUUUCAUCCAAAAAUUACACACCAAUCGGUUAUACUGAAUACACAUUAUCAUCAAUUUGCAUAAAAAUUAGCUCUAAUUCUUAAAAACAAGUGCAAAUUAUCCCAAAGAAGCCAGAAAUUUCAUGCAAAAAGUUCAAUUUGCUUUAACUUAAUAAUUGAGAAAAAAUUCUACAAAAAUAUCACCAUAUUAACAAAUUCUUCAAUUCUAAGCAUUCAAGUAAUUCUAAUGACAAAUAUUAGCACAAUGUAACACAAUUAUAGCAAUAAAAUUCAACAUACAUGCAUUUCCUAAAUAUAUAGAAAAAUAGAAAAAAAUGAUAACUAUGAAUUUUAAAAUUUCAAAAAAAAUUGAAAAUUCUUACCUCAAGUGUGUAGAGUGAUGCUAAAGGAUGAUAAGAAUGCCAAAAAUGAAAGAGAAACAGCCCAAAUUUGCCCCCAAAUUGAAUAAUUUCAGUUCGGCCGAAUCUUGUCUAGAAGGAUUAAAAUCCCUCUUUGAUGAUGUUUUAAUGCGAAAGAAAUUGGGGUUAAUGAUCAUAAGAGGUUUGGGGAGGUUUUUAUGGUGAGAGAUUGGAAGAUUAAUGGAUGAAAUAGAAGAUUGAAGGAAGGAGGCUAGGGUUUCAGUAAAGAAGAAGAGAAGAAAGCUGAAAAAAUGCAGAACCGAGGUUUCGAUUCUGCUAUAUCCGCGAAUCGAUCCGAUCUCGGUUCUGCUAUAUCCGCAAACCGAUGGUUCGAUCAGGGCUCGGAUCUGCUACUCCAGAAGCACAGACGAGCCCUCGGAUCCGACUGGACUUUUACGGAUCCGAGCUCGAAUCCGUCUUUUUCUGCAAUUUUUGCAAAAACUGUAAAUUUUUUUAAUUUUAACAGCUUUUUCUACUAAUUCCAAAUUACACUUGUGAUGAAUAUUUUCGCAAUUUCAACACUACACGCAAGUGUAAUAUACCCUAAACACAAAAUCCAGCCUCCCAAAACGCAUCAAACACAUCUAUAUUGCAAAUAGAAGGUUGAGCUUUUUUGAGCAUUUUGGCACUUUUACACUAAAAUGGUACCUUUAGGCAUGAAAUGUACAUCAAAUGAGUCCAUGAGCAUAUACAAACAUGUUAUCACCAAAACUUACUUGGAUAUCAUAAGAAUGCAUAAUUCAUAUUGGAACAAAAAUUAUUUAAACACUUAAAACAAAUUCUAAUAUAAAACUUCCCUUUUUCUUGGGUUUAGCCUCUUAUGAUCCUUAAAGAUAUUCCUUUGAACCGGAAAAAUCUACAAAAUCAAUUUUUUUAUCAUUAAAAUCAUACCAACUAAUAAAACAUACAAAUUAAAACACAUUAAAAUAAAAGAAAUCAUUGGAUUACCUCCCAAUUAAUGCUUUUGUUUAUAGUCGUUGGCUCAAUUCAAGGGUUGAAUUCUCAAAUUGAAGAAGAAUCACCCAAGUGACAUAUAAGUUCCUUGGGAACAAUUUCACCUGCUAAGUAGGGUUUUAAUCAUUGUCCAUUGACCUUAAACCUUUCAUUUCUUGAAUUUGCCACUUCAACAGCUCCAUAAGGAUAUACUUGAGUAACUUCAAAUGGUCCCGACCAUCUUGACUUCAGUUUUCCUGGAAAUAACCUCAUGCGCGAGUUGAAUAAAAGCACUUCUUGCCCUAUCUGGAAUUGUUUAGGGAUAAUAUGCUUAUCAUGCCAAUAUUUGAUCUUCUUUUUAUAAAUUUUGACAUUUUCAUAAGCAUGUAGCCGGUGUUCCUCCAAUUCACUUAACUCAAGUAAACUCCUUCCUCUUGCAAGAUUAAAAUCCAUAUUAAUUGCUUUAAUAGCCCAAUAAGCUUUAUAAUCAAUCUCUAUAGGUAAGUGAUAAACUUUUCCAUAGACUAAAUGAUACGGCGACAUUUCUAAGGGUGUCUUAAAUGCCGUUCGGUAAGCCCAUAGUGCAUCAUCUAGCUUUGUAGCCCAAUCCUUGCGUGAUUUAUUCAUAGUUUUCUCCAAAAUGAGUUUUAUCUCUCGAUUUGCUAAUUCCGCUUGUUCGUUGGCUUGAAAAUGGUACGGAAGUGAUGUCUUGUACCUACAACUAUAUUUAAACAAUAAGGAAUCAAGUUGUUUGUUACAAAAAUGUUUUCCGUCAUCACUUACUAUGCCUUUCGGUAUACCAAAUCUGCAAAAAAUGUUCUUUUUAAGAAAUCGGAGCACAAUCUUAGAAUCAUUAGUAGGUGAAACGAUUGCCUCUACCCAUUUAGAAAUAUAAUCUAUUACUACUAAGAUGUACUUAUUAUUAAAAGAACUAGGGAAUGGUCUCAUAAAAUCAAUACCCCAUACAUCAAAUAACUCAACCUCCAAAAAGAUAGUUAGGGGCAUUUUAUUUUUACGAGAUAUAUUUUCAGUUCUUUGGUAUGCAUCACAACUUUUAACAUAUUCCCUAACAUCUCGGUACAUAGUUGGCCAAUAAAAUCUUGAUUGCCAUACCUUUGCUACAGUCUUUGAAGUGCUAAAAUGACCGCCUGUUUCAAGGUUAUGACAGUGAUAUAAAACGUUAUGUACCUCAUCUUCAGGAAUAUAUCUGCGCACCAUACCAUCAGCACAAUGUCUAUAUAGCAAUGGUUUCUCUCAAAAGUAACUUUUGACAUCAUGCAAAAAUUUCUUCUUUUGAUGAUAAUUAAAUCCCUUAGGAAUUUCUCCACUUACUAAAUAAUUAGCAAUAUCUGCAUACCAUGGAGAAUUGAUAACUGCUAGUACAAACUCAUCCGAAAAAUUUUCUUAGAUAGGAACUUGAUCUUUGACUGGGAUAUAUUCCAAGCGUGAUAGAUGAUCUGCCACAAGAUUUUCCGUUCCCUUUUUAUCUUUUAUUUCUACAUCAAAUUCCUGCAACAAAAGAAUCCAUUGAAUUAGUCUAGAUUUUGCAUCUUUUUUAUUUAACAAAUAUUUGAGAGCUAAGUGAUCCGUAUAGAUGAUAACUUUAGAUCCUACUAAAUAGGAUCUAAAUUUGUCUAAAGUAAAUAUCACCGCUAAUAGCUCUUUUUCUGUUGUUGCAUAAUUGAAUUGUGCCUCAUUUAACAAUUUACUAAUAUAAUAGAUGGCAUGCAACCUUGCUUCUUUCUUUUGCCCCAAAACUAUCCUAACCGCAUAGUCACUUCCAUCGCACAUCAAUUCAAAUGGUAGUGACCAACCGGAUGAAGUUAUAAUUGGAUCAGAAACCAAUUCAUUAUUCAACCUUUCAAAAGCAACUAAACAAUUGUCAUCAAAUUGAAAAGGGGUAUUUUUACAUAAUAAAUCACACAACGGCUUUACUAUUUUAGAAAAAUCCUUAAUAAAGCGUCUAUAAAAGCCGGCAUGUCAUAGAAAACUCCUUAUCCACUUGACAUUUUUUGGAGGUGGCAAUUGCUCGAUGACUUCAAUUUUUGCUUUAUCCACCUCAAUUUUCUUAGAGGAAAUCUUGUGUCCCAAAUAAUUCCUUCGUUUACUAUAAAAUGGCAUUUCUCCCAAUUUAAUAUAAGAUUUUUCUUCUCACAUUUCUGCAAAAUCAAAUCCAAAUUAUGAAAAUAAUGGUAAAAAGAUGACUCAUACACAGAAAAAUCAUCGAUAAAUAUCUCCAUAAUUUUUUCAAUAUAAUCAGAAAAUAUAGCCAUCAUGCAACGUUGAAAUGUCGCAGGAGCGUUGCACAAAUCAAAUGGCAUCCUUCUAAAAGCAAAAGUGCCAUAAGAACAUGUGAAUGUGAUUUUCUCUUGAUCCUCCGGAGUUAUAGCUAUUUGGUUAUACUUUGAAAAAUCAUCAAGAAAACAGUAAAAUUCAUAUCCGGCUAUUCGCUCCAAUAAUUGAUCAAGAAAUGGUAAAGAAAAAUGAUUUUUUCUUGUUGCCGCAUUUAAUUUGCGAUAAUCGAUAUACACUCUCUACCCAACUACAAGUCUAGAUCGAAUCAUCUCAUCAUUUUUAUCCAUAAUUGUAAUGAUUCCAUCUUUCUUUGGUACAAAAUGAAUUGGACUAAUCCAAACGUUAUCGGAUAUAGAAAAGAUUAUACUUGCGUCAAACCACUUAAGAAUUUCAUUUUUUACCACCUCUUUCAUGUUUGGAUUUAGUCGUCUUUGUGUUUCCACCAUUGGUUUGCAAUUGUUCUCCAAUAAAAUACGGUGCAUGCAUAUAGAAGGACUUAUACCUUUAAUGUCUGAAAUUGUUCAUCCAAUUACCUUCUUAUACCUUUUUAGAACUCUUAAUAACUUUGCACACUACUCAUCAUCAAGGUUAGUACUAACGAUUACCAGUAAAGUGCUAUUUUUUCCAAGAAAUUCAUACCUUAGAUGAGUUGGAAGUGGUUUAAACUCUAAUUUUGGAGGUUCAAUUUUCGAAGGCGAUGGAAGCCCUUUACCUUGGCCAAGACUUUCAUAAACACUACACUUUCUAUAUGGUGCUUGAAAAUCCAAAUACUUGGCCACUUCUUCAAGCUCUUCACAAUCUCCCUCUUGCAUACCUAAACUCAAUAAACAAAGCUCAAGCAGGUCGAAGUCAAAAUUGACUCGACUCCAUUCUUGGAUUAGUUUAUCAAUGGUGCCAAUAGAAUAAGUAUGAUUAGUAAAAGAACGGUAUAUUUUCAUUUCAUUCAAAUUAAAUUCUAUCUCUUCUUCACCUACUUGAAAUUUAAACUUGCCAUUUUUAAUAUCAAUAAUAGUAUCUGCAGUAGUUAGAAAUGGUUUAUCUAGAAUAAUUAGUAGAGAUAUAUCUUCUUCCAUAUCUAAAAUCACAAAAUUCACUGGAAUGAUAAAUUUUUGAACUUUGAUCAAUACAUUCUCCAACACUGCCAAUGGAUAUCUAAUAGACCUAUUCGCUAGUUGCAAAGUAAUAUUAAUGCGUUUUAAACUCAUGCAAAUCUAAUUGUCUAGCCACCGUUAAACAAAUUAAUGAUAUACUAGCACCAAGAUCACACAAUACUUUAGAGAAAUCAAUGUUACCUAUGGUGCAAGGUAUAGAAAAACUCUCCGGAUCCUUCAAUUUCGGUGAUAGCUUAUUUUGUAUGAUGGCACUGCAUUCCUCCGUUAAUGCUAUUGUUUCGCAGUCUUCCAACUUUCUCUUUCAAGUCAUGAUUUUCUUGAGAAAUUUCGCAUAUGAAGGAAUCUACAAAAUAGCAUCAGCAAAAAGAAUGUUAAUGUGCAAUUGCUUGAAGAUUUUAACAAAAUUUUUAAAAUUCUUAUCAAAUUUAUUCUGCUUGAGUCUUUGGAAAAAUAGAACUGCAGGAGGUAUCGGAAUGGUAACGGGAGAUGAUGGUUGAUUUUCUCUUGGAUUCUCCCAACUAUUUUCCUCCACAAUCGCCUCUUGAUUCUUUCUCUUUUCUACAUGUUUUUCACUCUCAUCUUUCUCACCUUUACUCACAGGAGGAUCCUCUAAUUAUUUAUCACUACGAAGAGUAAUGGCUUUGACAUGCUCUUUAGGAUUAACCUCCGUUUUGCUAGGCAAUUUUCCUUGAUUUCGAUUGUUCAAGGAAUUAGCAAUUUGAUCAAUUUGAACCUCUACAUUCCUAUAUAUUAUAGUAAAUUGGUCCAAUCUUCCUUUUACUGCUCAAAUCUGUCCGAAAUAACCUUAGCGAGUUUUUCCACCGCAAUCUCCCAACUUGGUUUUGUUUCAAUUUGUAGUUGCCUUGGUUGGAAUUCCGGUGGGUUGGUUGGCCUUGGUUGAUUACCUUGAUUUUUCCAUCCAAAUUUUGGAUGAUUUCUCCAUUCCGAGUUAUAAGUGUUCGAGUUGGGGUUAUUUUGAUGAAUGUGUUGAUUCUGAGCAGGUAUAAUUUAUCAACAAUUUACGAUUCCGAAAUUGUAUCUACAUAACGAUUUCUAAAUUGUACCUCCACAUAUAGAGCAACAAGUUACAUGUGUAUUAGAUGAAUUUAGACCAACUCCACCUUGUCUACUUAGCAAUUUCAUCACAUUAUUCAUUUGAGCAUUCAGCAUAUUGAGAGUGUCCAUUUCUAUCAUACCUGGGUGACAUCUCGUAUUACCUCUCUCAUUGGCCUAUUGAUAGUUAUUUGUAGCUAUUUUUUCUAUCAAAUUCUGAGUUUCUUGGGAUAAUUUACCCAUUAAAGUUUCACCUGCAACUGCAUUAAUCAUAAUUUUAGUAGAAAAAGAUAAAUCAUUAUGGAAGGUUUGUACGAUUAGCCAAUCGGACAGUACAUGAUGUGAACAUUUUCGUAGCAAAUCUCUAAAUCUUUCCCAUGCCUCAUAUAAUGAUUCACCUUCUAAUUGGCUAAACUAGUGAUAUCCAUUCUUAGCUUAGCAGUCUUACCCAGUGAAAAAUACUUAUUCAAAAAUAUCCUUGAUAAAUCAUCCCAUGUGGUAAAAAUGUUAGAAGCAUAAGAGUGUAACCAAAUUUUUGCCUUAUCUCUCAAUGAAAAUGGGAACAAUCUUAGCUUUAUAACAUCAUCACUAACUCCAUUCAUUUUAAUUGUAUCACAUAUUUCCAAAAAUGUAGCUAAGUGUGAGUUAGGAUCUUUUGCUGCAUUACCUCCAAAUUGAGAUUGUUGAAUCAUUUGUAUAAGUGAUCGUUUAAUCUCAAAAUUGUUAGCAUUUACCGUAGGUCUUGCUAUGCUUGUUUGAGAUCCUUGUAUCCCCGGUAGAGUAAAAUCUCGUAGAGCUGGCCUAUUUGUUUCGUUUUCUGUCAUCUCUUCUUCAAAUGGUAACUCUAUUAAGAUUUCCUCUAUCGGUUGCUAAACUUCUUAGUCCUCUUGCUGUGGUGUAUGCCUUCUUUGUUUACGUAGUGUCCUUUCAAUUUCUGGAUCAAAAGGUGCAACUUUUCAAAAUACCCGGUGCAUACACUACAAGCAGAAAUAAGAGACAUUAUACAGUUUCUAUUGUCACAAAACUGAUUAAAAUGCAAAAUUAACUAUAAACAGCUUAACUAAUAAAAAUAUAGCUGUCUAAAGUAAUAGAGAUGAUUAGGUCCUAAUAUUGCUGCUCCCCUAUAACGUCGUCAAAAAUUUGAUGGUUUUUUUGUUAUAUUAUAAGUGCAAGUUUAAUUUCAAUUUAUACCCGUUGACUGCAAGUAUGUAAGCCAAACUAGUAGUUUAGAGCAUUAAUCGGGUCGAUCCCACGAGUAGCAAUGUCUACAAGUAUUAGAUCCUUAUUUUCUCUAUUAUUUAGACUUAUAAUGAAUUUGAACAGAAAAAUUAUAUUACUAUUGCUUACAAAUCUGAUUUAAUAAAUGUAAGAUAUAAUUGAAGAAAAUUUACUAAAAAAUUGAAUCUAGGGAUAUAGAUUCCACUUAUGGUACAAAAGAUUCAAAUGAAUGAAUUUAAUACUUGUUACUCCUCUUGUUCAACCAGGGAUUCAUUUCCAAAAUUGUCAAAAUCUCAUUAUCAUGAUAAUAAUGGUUUAGAACAGCCUAGUAUUUCCUAAUCUCUUGGUGAAUAACUAACUCUGUUCUUACUUCAUUCAUGAAAUGUAAAUUUAAUUCACUUGAAUGUAUUUCUAUUCUCAUGAACAUACAACUCAAGCUCUACUCAUGUUAUUCCAUUGCUGCUAUCAAUUCUCAUUGAGUAAUAACAACUAUAAACCUGCUAUUGGUGAUCAAACAACAACAAGUAAUCAACAAUGCACAAGUAGACAAGUUAAUACAAGAUACACAAAGUGUAAAUCACAUUCAAUUUAUAUCACUUGCCCAUAAGUUUCAUCUACUCCCUAGAUUUAAAAAUUUAGUUACUCAUGAAUGAUAUAACAAUCAAAUUCAUAACUUCAUUAAUAGAAAAUAUGACAAGUUACAAAUACAAGAAGUAUAAAGAAAAACUUAGCCAAGUUAAUGGUGAAACCCUCAAAAUUCUGCUAUGUCUUGCACUAGAAAAUUACAAGAUGAAGUUUUCAAGUGCUCCUUGCAAUAUUUGCUAGUUAGAGAGAAUUGUCUACAAGAAAUUGCUAGUCUCCGUAUGAUCUCUGACCUUCUCCUUGUUGCCCUCCAUAAAAGCUGGUGAAAAGUUCCUUUUCCAUUUUCUCAUGAAUCUCAAUCCUCAAUCUUGUUAAGAAAGUCAAAAGCAAUGAUUUUUGACUUGACAAUAAAUCAUAUUGUCCUCUCUUUGGCAUCGAAGCAUAUGUCACCGAAUUCUCUUACCAAAUAUAGCUGAAAAGUAGUGUGAAAAAAAAAGAAGAAAAAUGACCAAGCCACUUGCAGAGGAGAGAGGCAGAUCUGAGGCCUUGGAUCCGAGGGGUUAAGUAUGAUCCGAACUCGGAUCCUAGCUAAUCUGAGAAUUUCCUCAAAGUGAUCCGAGCUCGGAUCAACUGAUUUUCGAUCCAUUACUCCAGAAGUUUAGACGAGGGCUCGGAUCCCUCUUUGGUAUGGAUGGAUUCGAGCUCGGAUCCAUCUCAAUUUGCUUUCAUCUUCUCUUUUUCUCCAUCUUCGUUCCAUGUUUUUUUUGCUCAACACAUAAUCACUAAUGCUUAUGUCUUUUUAAUCAUAUGUGUGAGGUUCAUGCAUUGAUGGCCUUCAAAAUAUCACAAGUUUAUGCAUUAAUCUAUUCAUUUUUCGGGUUUUCAUUAUUCAAACGACACUUAAGCAAUUUAUACCUAAAAAAGUUUUAAUAUGGUUUUAAUAUUCUCAAAACAUACCAAAAAGUUCAUGCCAAACUGUAUAAAAUGUACGUUAAAUAUUCACUUAUCAGUCAUCUCAACCCGAAUUGAAUCCGAAGAAUGUGAGCGCAAUGACCUUAAAGAGUGGAAAGAAAAUUCGAGAAUCCGAACUUGUGAUUCCUAAGGACAAGGACGAGGAACGAAUUGAAAAAGAGUUUGAAGAGGAAGGCAGAUGCAACAAAGAUCUCGAGGUACUCUCGGACCCAAUCACUACGGUUAAGACUAACCCACUUUUCUUUCCUAGUAGGUUGGAGAAACCAAAGAAGUAGGACAAGGAGAAAGAGAUUUUGGAGAUCUUCCGCAAUGUGAAAAUUAACAUUCCCCUGCUAGAUGCGAUCAAACAAACACCCAGAUACGCAAAGUUUUUUAGGGGCUUGUGUGUCAAUCGAAGGCGGUUGAAAGGAGAUGAACGAGUUAUAGUGGGGGAGAACGUAUCAGCAAUUUUACAAAGAAAUCUUCCACCGAAAUGCGGGGACUCAGGUAUAUUUACUAUUCCCUGUAGGAUAGGUGACACCUUGAGUGGAAAGACAAUAUUAGACCUAGGAGUAUCAAUUAAUUUCAUGCCAAAGUCCAUAUAUACUUCUUUGAACUUGGGUCCUUUAAAAGAAAUUGAGAUAAUAAUCCAACUAACUGACCGAACCAAUGCCUACCCUGAAGGGUUGAUUGAAGAUGUUUUGAUAAAAAUUAAUGAAUUGGUAUUCCCAACUGAUUUUUAUGUGCUUGAUAUGGAUGAUGAUCACUCUCUCAACCUAUCACCCUUACUGUUAGAUAGACCAUUUUUUAGCACUGUCUAGACUAAAAUUGAUGUUAAUAAAGGUACUUUAUCUAUGAAAUUUGAUGGCAAAAAUCGUUCAUUUUAACAUCUUUGAAACCAUGAAAUAUCCUUCAGAUUCAAAUUUCAACUCUGUCUUCUCUGUAAGUGCUAUUAACUCUGCGAUACAGGAGAUUUUUGAAAUUGGUGGUAGGGAUGAGUUAGAAGUCACCUUGACUAAGCACUUCGAGUCAGAAACGACCAAUGGGGUAGAGUUGAGCGAAAAGCUAAAAUGCGUGAUUGGAGCGUUGCAAUCGUUGCCAACCAUGAAAUUAAGGUAUGACCUCGCGUCCAUUUUCACACCCGAACCUCACCAAAGGUUACUUCCAUUUGUGGUGCAGGCACCUAUCUUGGAAUUGAAACCCCUGCUGAAACACCUGAAAUAUGCAUAUUUAGGUGAGGAAAAGACACUCCCAGUGAUUAUCUCCACGGGUUUAUUAAAAGUUCAAGAAAACAAGCUAAUUCGAGUUCUUAGGAAACAUAAGCAGGUGAUAGGAUAGACCAUCGCUGAUAUCAAAGGAAUUAGCCCCACGGUGUGUACGCAUCGGAUUCGACUCGAGAAGCGUGUUAAACCCAUGCGGCAGGCUUAACGGAGGCUAAAUCCCCUCAUGAUGGAGGUCGUAAAGAAAGAGAUUCUAAAUCUGCUGGAUGUGGAAAUUAUAUUCGCAAUAUCAGAUAACCCAUAGGUGAGUCCAGUAUAGGUGGUCUCGAAGAAGGCAGGGGUGACGGUAGAAUCAAAUCAAGAGGGUGAACUCGUGCCAGUUCGAAAGCCCACCGGAUGGCGGUAGUGUAUCGACUAUCGGGAAUUAAACGCCGUCAUAAAAAUGAUCAUUUUUCCCUUUCUUUUAGUGAUCAAAUGAUAGAGCGAUUAGCAUGUUGAACUUAUUAUUAUUUUUUGGAUGAAUUUUCAGAUUAUUUCCAAAUUACUAUUGCACCCGAGGACCAGAAAAAGAUCACGUUCACGUGCCCGUUUGGAACGUUUGCAUACAGAAGAAUGCCAUUCGAAUUGUGCAAUGCGUCUGCCACCUUCGAAAAAUGCAUGGUAAGCAUUUUUUCAGAGUAUGUUGGGAAGAUUAUUCAGAUUUUCAUGGACAAUUUUAGCGUAUAUGGUGAAAGUUUUGAUAACUAUCUAGAUAACCUGAAAUUAAUUUUAGUAAGGUGUAUAGAAGUUAAUAUCGUGCUUAAUUAAAAAAAUGCCACUUUAUGGUCGAACACGGGAUAGUUUUGGGUCAUGUAGUAUCGUCUAGAGGUAUUGAAGUUGAUAAGGCAAAAAUAAGCGUUAUAUCAAUUUUACCUUACCUCGCGAGUGUGCGGGAAGUACGUUCUUUUUUGGGUCACGCAGGUUUCUAUCGAAGGUUCAUUAAAUAUUUCUCGAAAAUUGAAGCACCAUUGUUCCAACUUUUAUUAAAAGAUGCGGCCUUCGCAUUUGAUGAAACAUGCAAGAGGGCGUUUGAUAAGUUGAAAGUUCUAUUGACCUCGCCACCGAUUAUCCAACCCCUUGAUUGUAAUCUACCAUUUGAGAUCAUGUACGACGCCGGUGAUUAUGGGGUGGGCGUGGUGCUCGGUCAAAGAGUGGGAAGAGCAGUCCAUGCUAUCUAUUACGCGUCUCAAGUCUUGAACGGAGCUCAACUGAACUAUCCAACUACCGAAAAUGAGCUUUUGGCGGUUGUUUUUGCUUUAGAAAAAAUUCGUUCAUACUUAUUAGGUGCUAAAGUCAUUGUAUUUUCUAAUCAUGCAGCGUUGUGAUAUCUGUUGACCAAGAAAGAUGCAAAAUCUCGACUGAUAAGAUGAAUAUUGUUGUUACAAGAAUUCGACCUGGAGAUCAGAGAUAAGAAAGAGGCGAAAAAUCUGGUGGCGGAUCACUUGAGUCGAGUACAAGUCGUCGAGGACGACCUCCCAUUGAGAGAAGCUUUCUCCGAUGAACAUUUAUUCUUUGUUAAUUUAUUUUUGCCUUGGUAUGCAGAUAUUGUUAAUUUUCUAGUCACUGACAAGCUCCCUGCAGGAUUGCCCAAAGCAAAGAGAGACAAAUUGAGAAGUGACGCAAAGUAUUACAUCUCGGAUGAUCCUUCCUCUGGAAGCGUGGUGCCGACCAAGUCAUCAGAAGAUGCGUAAGUGAGAAUGAAUUCCACUCAAUAUUAACAUAUUGUCAUUCUUUUGCAUGUGGAGGUCAUUUCGGACCAAAGAGAACGGCUCGUAAAGUGUUGGAGAGUGGUUUCUAUUGGCCAACCCUCUUCAAGGACGCCUACUCAUUUUGUAAGUCCUGUGAUAAGUGUCGACGAGUAGGUAGUCUCUCUCAUAGGGAUCAAAUGACCCAAAUUUCAAUGAUUUUCGUUGAAAUUUUUGACGUUUGGAGUAUCGACUUUAUAAGUUUUUUUCCUUCAUCUUUUGAUUUUUUGUAUAUAUUGUUUGCAGUAGACUAUGUUUCGAAAUAGGUGUAAGCAAAAGUCACCCGUAUUAAUGAUUUCAAAGUGGUUGCAGAAUUCGUCAAGUCUAAUAUUUUUGUCCGCUUUGGAAUGCCGGGAGCGAUUGUAAGUGAUCGGGGUAGCCAUUUUUGCAACAAAACGAUUGUGGCAGUUUUAGGAGAUACAAUGUCUUGCAUAAACUCUCCACAUCCUACCAUCCUCAAACAAACGGUCAAACGAUUCGAUAGAAAUCGAUUUUAGAGAAAAUGGUCUGAUCCGAUAAAAAUGAUUGGAGUAUGAGACUAGAAAAUGCAUUAUGGGCAUACAGGACGGUGUACAAGACCCCCCAUUGGCAUGUCCUCUUAUCGGUUGGUAUUUGAGAAGUCAUGUCACCUUCCAGUCGAGUUCGAGCAUAGAGCAUUUUGGACAGUUAAGCAAUGCAAUAUGGACAUUGUGGAGGGUGAAAUUCAAAGAAAGUUGCAGUUACAAGAGUUGGAGGAAAUUCGAAAUGAAGCAUACGAAAAUACUGUGAUUUAUAAAGAGAAAAAUAAGAUCUUUCAUGACCAACAAAUCUCUAAGAAGACAUUCGUCUGCAGGCAAAAGGUUCUACUGUAUUGCUAGAAACUGAAACUAUUUUCAAGUAAAUUACGUUUUCGUUGGAUCGGUCCUUUGUUGUGACUAAUGUCUUUCACUAUGGUGCAGUGGAGAUCCAAAGUUUGAAAAUGGAGAAAAAUUUUGUGUUGAAUGGUCACCAUUUCAAACCAUAUUAUGAAGAGUUUUCAGUUGAACGAGUGGAGAUGAUGCAACUAGAAGACCCAACUUGCUUAGUUUAAGCGAAUUUUGGGCCACGUCUGGUCUAAGACGUUAAAGAGAGACGCUUUUUGGGAGGUAACGCAAAUAUUGAUUUUGUUUAUUUUUUUCAUUGUUCAAUGCCUUAAAUUUGUCAUUUCUCACUUGGGUACUAAUUGAUCUUGAUACUUUUCUCAACUGUGACCAGGACAGGAAAUCUUGGCGUGCCCACGCAAGGAGAGCACGCGUUAAUCUUAUAAGUCCCGGUGUCAUGGUCAGGAGACUUUUACCAAUCUUGGCGUGUCCACGCCAUGUUCGAAACGCAGGCAGGCCAAGAAAUCUUGGUGUGCCCACGCAAGGAGGGCAAACAUUAAUUUGCAAAAAAAAAUCACCCCAGGAUUAGAUUACUUUUCCAAAACUUGGCGUACUCAUGCCAUAUUGGUAAAACCUCAACAUCUCGCGACGUUGGCAGGAAGUGGAAUCAUGGUGUGCCUAUGCGAGGAAGGUAUGGGUUAAAUUGCAAAAAGUGGCUUCCAAGAGCCGCUGUUGCUGUCCACGUGCCACCCGCAGGCCGAGACCCACCGCCGCCUCCGUUGCGCCCCUCCACCACACGCCUCCCCGCUUUCUCCUUCCGCGCGCCGCGAGUCUUCAGGCCCACCAGCACACCACGCCAUCCUUGCUCAGUUCGUUGCACGCUGCGCCCCCUGGCCUCGCCGCGAUCCGCCACUAGCUGUCUCUCUCUCUCGCCAUGGUGGAGGUACCAUUCUCACCUAUUACCUGCUUAUUUGGAGUAUCAAUUGUUGGGUUUGGUUAUUGGACUCAAUAGAGGACUCCUCUACUGGAAUUUAUUUGCGUUAAAUUGCAUUGAUGGAGAUUGUCUGAAUAUUGAUUACACUGUUGAUUGGCUUGGGCAUUUGUUCAGUUUGUUGGUUUAUGGGAGUAUUUGACGAUUCAAUUAAGAGACCACAGCCUUUAUUUCGUUAAUUUUUGUGAUAAACACAGUGCUAUCCCUGGGUUCUUUGAAUCGUCUGUUCAAUAGAUUGUCAAUCCUCUGUUGAUUUUCUGUGGGUGUUACAAUUCCUGUUGAUUGAGUUGAUAUUUGAAAGGCACCUCUGACAGUUGUUUUACUUGUUAAAAUUGGUUGCAUUCAAUUGCUUUGUUGGGGUCAUCUACCUCUCGACUGAGAGCUGAGUUGUUUGGGAGUUUAUUGAUUCUAUUGGAGCUUCUGUUGCGCUUUUGGUUGAAUUAGUUUUGCUUCUGCCUUUUCAACUAGGAGAUACCAGUGCUUGUUGGGUUGAUUGUUGACUUCACAAGAGGAUAUUGAUUUCUAUUAAUCUGCAUUUACUUGUUCAUCUAUCUGUUGGCAAUUUUGUUUCUAUUGCUUGGGUUGCCUGUUGGCGACAAUAGUGAGACCAAAUCUCUCUUCUAGGUCCAGAGCCUCUCGACCUCAGCCUACCCUAAUCCAACCCACCAUUCCAGCCUCCGAUUCCUCACACGACCCUUCUUCCUCGGGCAAGUGAGCUCGCCUUGGUAGGUAGAAGGGCGUCCAUAUUUCCGACCCUUCACAUUUUGCAUGUAACUUGAUCUACACCAGGGCCGCCGACAAAGUAACGAUAUGCUAUUUGUUAUGAACGGCAUAUUAUCCUCUACCGAUUUUUGGACGCCACCACUAUGGGUAUUCUGAAUAUUAGGGUUGACUUUGACCGUUUGUUCACAGCCAUUGGGUGGCACCCCUAUGCUAAUAUUGUUAACUGUCCAGCAUUUAUUGAGUUGGUUAGGGAGUUUUAUACCACAUUUCGAGUUCAACUUUCCUACCAGUUAUACAGUCUCUACCCCCAACGUCAUUCGUUUUCGGUGAAUGGGUCAGGAGCUCCAUCACUGAAUCACUGAUUUUAACCUAGCCUUUGGUUUAAUUGAUAGGGCCUCCGCCGACUCUCGUAAAUAUGCCGAGAGUGCUUGUGACUAUGUAGAGCUCUUCUUCUCCUGCUAUGGAUAUAUUUGGGAGGAUAUAUCUGUUGACAAUGCUAAUUGCGACCCUCAUCAGUCCAAGAGUUCCUAUCUGAAAGACCCGACAUCUCGCUAUAUCCAACGUUUCUUGGCCUAUAAUUUCUCGGAUAGGCGGGAUAGUUCAGAAAUUUUGUCUAAAUCGAAAUUCUUUUUUAUUUGGUAUAUGCACAAUAACAGUAAGGUUAAUUUGGGGUGCUGGCUUGCUUCUCAAUUCAAGUCUGUUUUGACUAAAAAGAAGCGUCUCUUGAUUCUUGGGUCAUAUAUUACCCAUUUGGCUGUUAAUCUGCAUUUAUUUGAUUUUUCUAACCAUGAUUUGCAUGUAGCCUGUCAAAUGGAGCCCUUAGACAUUCCUUGCUUAGAAAAGAUGGGUAUGGUCAGGGAGGGUGAUAGCGGGUGGGAGAUUACCCUCCCAGGGCCGACUCGCGUCCCUCCUUGACACUCUUCUGCCCGUUCCUCCUCUGCUGGCGCUGAUCCGGGUCCGUCUACUUCUGCCCCGCCUCCUCCAACUCCAGGGGCUGAUGACUGGCACCAAUUUCGAAUACAAGUUCAAAAUCUAAAGGCUCGGAUGACUAAUAUUGAUGCCAAUGUGGCCCAAAUGGUGCGGAAUCUGGCAGCGUUUUUGCACCACACGGGUUUUCCACCUCCUUUUCUGCCUCGCCCACUAAUGUGACCCAUCACGGUCCCCGUUAUUUCAGGGGAGUUCCGUUGCCCUUCUUCUUACUUUUGCUGUUUAUUUGUUACAUUGCAGACAAUGUGCCAUUCAGGUGUGGGGGGGGGAUUUGACUGGUGUCUCUUUAAUUUCUGCUUUUCUUACUACUUAUCUUGGUGAUCAACAAUUGCCCGGUAACGUAUUCUUCUAUUGCUAGAUGUGGUUUAUUCUGUGAAUUUAGCUUCAGUUGCAAGCUUGAGCAUAUUGUCUUGGUGAAUACCGUGAGUUUAAUAACUUUGUGCAAACUGUGGUUAACUUGUUUAGGCAAUGUAAAUAUUUUGCUAGCAACUGUUGUGUGGAUUGGUCAACUAUUAAUCUUAGUUCUCCAUGUUUAGGAGAUGACGUGGGUUAUGAUCUUUAAUUGUCUGGUAUUUUGGUGUUUUGUUGUGAAUAACAUAUGGCUAUACUCCGCUAGUGUUGUCACCCAGUAACCGGGAGUUUUUACCACAAGUGUUGAUUUUCACGUCAACAAAUGGCGAUAUCUAUGAGUAGGUGGUCUUGAAGCGGUGAAAAGUUGAGUAACUGGGUUCUUUCAUCUACAAAAUGUCAAGGUUCAUGUCAAAAGACUUGAAUGGUUUGGGACAAAACAUUUAUUUGUUCAAAAGAGAAGAAAAACAAAAAAAAAAAGAGAGAAAAGAGAAAGGAAACAGAUGUGAAAAAUACGUAAGCAUAUGAUCAUAUUGGCCCGCCGAUCCUUGGUUUUCAAUGUUGAGAUUUUGAUUGCCAGUUGGACCAAUUGUUAACUGUUGCUAGUUUAAUAUUUUGCUUUCCUAGACGAGUUAGACAUGAAUUGGAUGAGUCUGUGAUUUCAAGAACUAACCGAGAGGAUUAUGUCUUGACACUUAGCCACUGAACCUUGAUUUUGGUGUAAGCAAAGCUUUGCAAUAGAUGACGUGAGAGCUGACCAUUGUUUAAGUUUAGUUGUUCUCAUGCUUGAGGACAAACAUGAUUUAGAUGUAGGGGGAAUUGAUAUGGCAUAAUUUGUUAUUAAUUUUAUGGUUAAUUUCCCUUUUUGCCUUUGCCAGAUAUUAUUUUAAGUGUUAACAUAUACUUAUAUUUGGUAUUUGGAUCUAAUUUCAGGAAGUGGAGCAGAAAAGUGCUAAAAAGGGAGACCUUCUUGAGAGAAUGCUCUGCACGUGGAAAGCUUCCAAGAUAUUUACAAAUUUGGCUCCACAUUAUGCUACAACAGAGUCCUUUCCUUUUGCUGACUAGGAGUUUACUAGUAUUAGGGAGUUUUACUAGUAUUAGGAAACGGAAGACAAGGAACAUUCGGCAGUGCUUUACCUUUUGUUUUUUUUUCCUUAUUCGGAGGGGCCCAACUAGAAAAAAGGCUGGUGAUUGUUUAGAUUAGGGACAGCUUCGUUCUUUUGUUUUUUUGGUCCCGUUUCUUCGUUUCUUUGUUUUUGGCUUCUUCCGUUCUUGCUAUUAGGCCAACGGAAAAACAGUUUUUAUUCUGGAUUUGUAUUAGACAAAAGGAGAUGUUUUCGAAAUCAAUUAAAUUGCGUGAAAAUUUUCUCAUGAGGCGUGACUAAACUUUUCAUCUAGUCAAUAAUCAACGCGACGAUGCAGUUCCGAAUAUCUGUGAGAUCGAAUUAGUUUUCAUGCGUUCCUUAAUCUGUUGAUAUUUGUAUGUUUUUUUAUUUGAAUUUUUAUGAGAUUAUUUUGUUAAUUGGAUGUCAAGGGCCCGAUAUUCAAGGUGACUUUUAAUCUCCUGCUAAAUUAAUCAAUUAAAUUCGUAAUUGUUUAAUCGAUUAAUAUCAGUGGCAACUAGCGUUUAUACACACUAGGGGAACGUGUGAUCUGAUCUAAAUAACCCUCGUAGCGUUUUAUUGAUUAGAGUUAGGCUUUUCUAACUCUUAAUGCAAUUAAGGGAUGAACUCCUACAGUUGUACCUAGGAGUGCUUCCUGAUUAGGGGUAAUUAAUGGUCGUGCCUUGGUUAUCAAUAAAUUAAGGAAAAGCUAGUUAUCAGAGCUUGUUGGCGACUAUAACUAAUCUAUUAACAAAUUAAGUGAGCCUUCCUUGCAUCAAUGAUCGGAUAAAUGGACUGCGUUUGAGAAGUUGUAUCCUUGGCUAGAAUUUGUCUAUUAUUGAUUUAAUUCCUGUCUACAUUUGUAUUAGUUAAUUGUUUGUUUUUUGUUGAAUUACUUAAUUGUUUUUAGCUUUAUUCCGAUAAAACCCCCAUUGCCAAUAGAAACUUCAAAGAGACAAAUAUCCCCAAUCCCUGAGGAUACGACCCUGCUUAUCACUAUCUAUAAAAAUCAUAUUUUGUUUGAGCAGGCAUUUAUUAUUGUACAGGCUCGACACCUGUCAAAUAUUAAGGCUUAGAUUUGUUUUUGAUGAAACCAUAGGGACUAAAAAAGAAGCCAUACUUAAUGCCAAAUAUUAUAGAUCAGAUUUGCUUUCGUUGAAAUGUUACAGAUUUAAAUCGCACAAGUACCAAAUAUUGAGAAUCAAAACUACAUAUAUCCUUAUUGCACUAUGUACACUUUUAAUUUUGAAGGCGAUUGCAAAUAAACAUCAUUGGUUCAUUUUUAUGCACACAAAGUCUAAAAUUCUUCUUUUGAUUUCAAAUAAUACUUCAUUUCAUAGUGUAUGUCUUUUUGGUUCAAAGUAGGGCAUAACUAAUCACUUCACAGAGUUAGGGGACAAUAUAAAGAGACAAAGUGGAAUUUCUCCUACUUUAUCUAAUAAGAAAUGUUAUUUACUAGGCUUAAACCCAAUUAAAGCUUGAACUGUUCACAUGUAUAAUUAUAUGUAAUAUACAUAUAAUUGCAUAUUAAAUGAUAUAUAUAAUAUAUAAUUAUACAUAUUAUAACAUUAAAUUUAAUACUUUAUAUACAAAUUCAUAAUAAUUCAUAAAUAUUAAUAUAUUAUAUAUAAUUAUGUAGUAGUUAAUAAUAAGCUUGGAUCAAACCUGAUAUAAGCCCAAAUUUCAUAUUAAAUGAUGAGCCGAAAUGCCUAAAAGCCCCAUUUAUGUUAAAGCUUGGGAAUGUCAAAGAACGGUUCAUAGAGCCUAAUUGACUCUCCCAAACCUAGCAACGAGAACUCUUUUGACCACUUGACAAAUGCUAAUAAUAUUAAAUACAUGUCCUGACUACCUUGUUAAUGAAAAAAAAAAGAAUAGAGCAAAAAAAUCAAACUAUAUAUAGCAAGGAAAAAUUAGAAGGUUUUGACUUAUUUAAAUAAUAAUGGAGCUUAUACUCGUUGGUCGAGUCACUUCACUUACAAGAUGCAAGUUUGAUUAACCAAGGAUGAGGUUGAGUGUCACUUUCUAUCCUCUUGAGGGAGGGAGGGAGGGAGAUGAUGGCUACUUUGAUUUGUGAUUCUUUGAGAGUCACGUUGAGACUUUUUAGAUUCACCAAAUUGGUUAAGGCGCGAUAAAUAACAAAGUGUAACCUUGCUUAACAACUUAGUAAAACAAACAAAAGAAAAAAAAUCAUACUUUUUUUUUAGCUUAAAAAAAAAUCAUACUUGAUGUCUACAUGUUAAGCAACCUCAAAUUCGUCAAUUUAAAUGAUUUUUGCCGAUUUUUCACAUUAGUUCAAACUACGAGGUACUGGAUUGUAUGAUUUAAAAUUAUAAAGGAUUUUUUUCUGUAGAUUUGUUUAAUCACAUGAGAACUAUUCUGUAUUAUAAUUCUAUGAAUGUAAUAAGUAUAUCAAUUAAAAAUUUGUUUGUUUCCAAUACAAAUACUCGCAAAAGAAGCGCAUGAAUUCCAAAUUCGUUAUUUGGACGAUUUCCGUCACUUUUUAAAAUUAGUCCAAACCAUGAAGUACCGAAGUGUAUGUUUUGAAACUAUAGCCUAUAGAAGAUAUUUCUUUAUGUUCGCAUAACUUCAAGGAGAUUUUCUAUAUUUUACCGUAGUUCUUUAUAUACAAAUUCAUAAUAAUUCCUAAAUAUUAAUAUAUUAUAUAUAAUUAUGCAGUUAAUAAUGAGUUUGGAUUGAACCCAAUAUAAGCCCAAAUUCAUAUUAAAUGAUGAAUUACAAAGCCCGAAAAUCCGAAAGCCCCAUUUAUAUUUUAAACCUUGGGUAUGUCAAAAUACAGUUCAUAAAGCCCGACUGACUCUCCUAAACCUAGCAACAAGAACUCUUUUAGUCACUUGAUCAACGCUAAUAAUCUUAAAUACAUGUAUUGACUACCUUGUUAAUGGAAAAAAAAAAGAGAAUAGAGCAAAAAUUCAGACCAUAUGUGGCAAGGAAAAUUAGAAGAUUUUGACUUUUUCAAAUGAUAAUGGAGCUUAUACUCAUUGGUUGAGUCACUCCCAUAACUCAGAAGUUUCUUAAGACUUAAAUUCAUUCUGAAUUAUUCCUUGUUUUUCUGUUGAAAUUUCACUGAUUUCAGUAUAAAAUAAAGGAAAUGAAUAGUUGAACGGUUGAUUCUUUUUUUUUUUUUUUUGUCGUCUUAAUUUUCGCCUCUCCAAGGUCGAGGAGAAAGGACGCUUGGCGUGUAGAGAGGCGUGGCAUGAGAGACCCGACCCCAAAAAGACUAAAAGAAAAUCAUGUAUUGGUCCAAGUAAAUUCAUUUAAAAAAUACAUACACUAAAAUAUUUCAUGAGUUUACUCUUCACCGACAGGAUGCAAGUUUGAUUCACCAAGGAUGAGGUUGAGCAUCACUUUCGAUCCUUUUGAGGGAGGGAGGGAGAUGAUGGCUGUUUUGUGAUUCUUUAAAAGUCACGUUGAGACUUUUUAAAUUCACCAAAUCAGUUAAGGUAUGAAAACUAACAAAUUAUAACCUUGCUUAACAACUUAAUAAAACAAACUAAAUAAAAAAAAUCAUACUUUUUUUGAGCUUAAAAAAAAUCAUACUUGAUGCCUGCAUGUUUCCUGCGCCUUAUCAUUUGAAGAUACUCUGCCAUCUUGGAAAGUUGAGAAUUCAGAAAUAAUAAAUGUUAAACAUGGCAACUGCCUCCAAAAAUAGUUAAACAGAUCUAGUUGCCAGAAUGCCAAACAUUCGCAGUAUACAGAAAUCAGGAUGUCAAAUUGUUAUUCAAUCCUCUAAAGAAGAAAAGAAGCAAUAGCUUCUGCAAACAAGGGGAAAGACAAACUCUGAGGAUUCAAGAACAACCAGACAUCCACCUUUAAUCGAAAGCUGAAUCCGUUCAAGACAUUCCCAAAAGUAGGGGUGAGCAAAUUUGGUACGUACCGAAUUCAUACUCGAAUUCAAAUUCAAUUUGAUAAUUUGAAAUCGAAUAUUUGGUAAUUUUGUACAAAAGCGAUAUUUACCGAAUUCACUGAAUUCUAAUACGGUAUGAAAUAGGUAAUGAGAUUAUGAAUUUGAUAAUAACCGAUUUCGAAUUCGUUUAUAAAGAAUUGGUUUAGUAUUAGUAUAUACUACUAAUAUAUUAUUAUAUUAUAUAGGUAAAUGCUAUUAAUAAUAGUUAGUAUAUGAUAUUAUCAUGUACUUAUGAUAAUAAUAAUAUAUAAUGAUAAUGAUGUACAAUCUACUACUAUUUUAGUAUUUGUUAAUUGUUAUAUGACUAUAAUAAUACAAAUAUACAACAAUACAUAACAUAACUAUAGUACUUAUUAUUUUAUACAUGACUAGAAUUAGAUAAUAUUUAAUUAAGUAUAGGUAUAAUACAUAACUAUAUAGUAUAACUAUAAUACUUAUUAUUUUAAUUAGGCCGAAAACUGCAAUUAAAGGAUUCAACAAAUUUUUUUUAAAAUGAAUUCGGUUUACCCGAAUUCAUUACCGUUUUCGAAUUCAAAUUCGGAAUUGAAUGAAUUCGGGUAUUUUCAAUUCGAAUUUGAAAGCGGUUUAGAUUUCUGUAAGUCCAAUAACUGAAUUUACCGAAUUCAUAUAAUCGAAUUAUCGAAUAUGCACCGUUUGCUCACCCCUACCCAAAAGAAACCAGUGAAUUUCAUGACACAUUUAUGACCCUAGCCUCUUUUAAACAUAUGAAAAUAAAGAUAAUAAAAUAAACCACCGAAAUGCAUCAAGAUUUCAAUUCUAGAACUCUUCCCAUUAUAAAAGGGGGCCCCAAAAAAAAAAAAAGAAAACACCCCAAACUUGCAGGAUGAAUAUCAGUCAUCACAAUCACACACAAACUCUGCCUUUCCAUGGUCAAAGACAAACAUUAACUGACGGCAGUACUAAACGAAAGAAGAAUCAAGUAGAAUUGUGAAAGAUAAACAACAGAUAUGCAAAUGUCCUGGACAAGCAAUCAUUCAACAACUUAGUUUCAACUAGCGGACACAUACUUACGAGCAGAAAUGCACGAAUUUCUUCAAAAAAGCAAUGCAUAUCCAUUCCAGCUCAGAUUUAGAUGAACUUGGUCCAACGACUAACCACAAUCCAAUUCACAAAUGGUUUGGACCAGUAUCUCAGGACCAAUGUCUUUCAACUUAAAGCUGGCUUUGGAUUGGACGUUAGACCGAAGUUCAUCAAGAUUGGGGUUUCCUUCAGAUGCAACUCGGUGGGUGCCAUGAAGGCUCUAUGGUGUACAGAAAAAAUUGCAGCAGCCCCAGUAGACAUAAACAUCUGCUACAGUAAAACAACCUAGUCAAACACUACAAGAGACUUUCCAAUUUAAUUAGAACUGGAACUAGAGGCAACCAACUCAAUAACCAAGACCUACUAAUUGACUAACAAAGAAACGAAGUCCGCCAAAGACAAAGAUUAGUUUGCAAAUUGCAAUCACUCAAGAUUAAUGAUAACAGUUUGACAACAGUGUAAACUUUGACAAAAAUGCUAAAUAAAGAGAUCAAUUAAGCUAGUUCAAAUAUUCCAACACCACUAAUCAAGGUAUUUACCCAUUUCAUUAAUGCACCGAUAAGACCACAGCAGGAACAUACAACUAUUCAAGGGCAAUGUGUCCCACAGUUCCCUGGAUUUAAGUUGCAAUCUGAUAA
rnacentral:lncRNA from 1 species